CAACAAAAUUCUAUUGUAUUUGUAUAUCCUAAACCAAUUGUUUAAAAAUUUUAAAUAGAAAAGGAUGGAAAGUGAAUGGGUAUACCAGAAUAUGGGCAUCGUUUAAUUGCUGAUUUGUGAUUAGCUUAUAAAUUUCCUUGCACAUAGCAUCAUCACAAUCGGUCUUUGUUUCAAGCAGUGAUCGUUCAUCUACAAUCAACUUUUCCAGCAACCUUUCGCUGAAAUAUAAUAUUUAUAGACAAAUAAUCAGUUUUCAACACAACCAUUUUCUUGUUCAAAAGGUCAAAUACAAAUUUAAAAGGUCAUUACCAGGUGGAAACAUUGAACUGAUUGUUGUUGGUAGAACAGAAACAGGCGAUCUUGCUAAAAAGCGUCAACAUAUUGGUGGUUUCUAUCUACAACAUAUACAGGAAAGGAACAAUGAUUAUGAGAAUCAAACAUGUAAAAAAACAAAACAUUAUUUUCUUUUUUUGAAAAGGUUAAAUUAAUGUUUUUUAUUUUAACUUUUUAACUGCCAAAAUAAAAUUAGAACACCACAUCACAGGACAAGACGUGAUGGGAGGGACAGGGAUACAAAAACAAAGAUCUCCAUGGUACCAAGACCUAGAGGGAACAGCAUAAAUACAACAACAAAACAGCACAAAACUCACAAGCUGAAAAACCUCCAACUAAAAAAGAGUACAAAACCUGCAACCAAAAGAAAGAAAGAAAGAAAACUCCUCCAAAACAAAACUAAAAACACGUCCCCAUAUCUCCAAGCCCACAAUCAGCAGAAAACAGAACGGCCUAAUACAAUCAUAAAGCAUGCACCUAGAGACAAAAACACCCAACUUAAAGACUCCGACCAAACCUUAGCCCACCCUAAGGGAACCCAAAUCCACAACAAUUCCCUCCUAUCAGUAAGGACCAACAGCCGCUGAGACCACAAAGAGAUCAACCCUAAACCAUGAUCUAUCUACCAGUAUUAUUCUAAUGAAAAUGGAGCUAUCAAGCUUGUAAACUCUAACAAAAACCCCAUUAUUAUCAAACAAAACAAAACAAAACAAAACAAGAAUCGAAAACCCAAACCUCUCAACAAAAAAAGUCGAAAACCCUAACCUGUUUCUUUUCUCUUGUUGGCAAAGCUGCUAAGCUGUUAGGGUAAAUUCCUUUUAUAGAGUAACGGUUUGGCUAACUUUGUGCUCUUUUAUUUAUUACUCCUCCGUUCCUUUUCAACUGUUUUUUAGGGUGAAUUUUUCGUUCCUAUUUAACUAUCGUUUUGGUAUUUUAAGCUACGAUUUGUCGAUUAUACCCUCGUAUGCACUGCCUUCGUAACAUCUAUUAUUCUCCUUUAUUUUAAUUAUUGAUGCAUUGUAGGUGCAAAAAGAACUUGAAAAUUUAAGAGACAAGCUUCGACAUCUGAAGAUGCAGUAUAACAAAGAGAAAGAGAGGAUUGAUGAGAUUUGAAGGCUGAAACAUACGUGAAGAGCUCCUCUUUGCACUACAGGAGGCUGAGAGGUGGUAUGAUCUUGAAAAGGUGGAAAAUGCAAUAAAAAAUCUUGAAGGUAGCACUGAUGGAAACAAAGAUGAUAACUUGAUGCUGACAGAAACUGUUGGACCAGACCAUAUAGCUAAGGUUGUUAGCCGAUGGACCGGUACACCGGUGACUCGUCUAGUGCAAAAUGAUAAAGAAAGGUUGGUUGGACUUGGUGACAAAUUGCACAGUAGAGUUGUGGGACAAGACCAAGCAGUUAAAGUUUUUGCUGGGGCUGUAGUGAGAUCGAGAGUUGGUUUAAGAAGACCUCAAAAACCAACUGGUCCCUUCCUAUUCCUUGGUCCAAAUAGUGUUGGUAAAACAGAACUUGCUAAGGCUCUUGCUCAAUAACUCUUUGCUGAUGAAAAUCAUAUGAUUAGACUCGACAUGUCGGAAUACAUGGAAAAAGACUCUAUCAAGAUUGAUUGGUGCACCACCAGGGUAAGAUAUUGUAUCAACAACUGCAUUUGAUUAUAGUAAAGGCCUAAAUUAUACUUGGAGAUAAAACAUUUAAUAUGUUUGGUCCAUGGGAAAGAGCUACAAAUUUGGUCUUUAAAUAUUUCAAAUGUCGGUCACAUUAGUCAUUUAUAAAGUCUCUGUUGAGAUUUAUUUAACCUGCAUUUGAAAUUUGGUUUUUCAGACUUCAUUGAAUGCGAGUUGUUUUUUCCUUUCGAUUCUUGUUUAGACUUAUAGUCUUUUACUUAUCGUAAAUUUAAAAUAUGCAUCUCAGGUGUCACUGAUUGUGAAAUGAUUUUUCAGGUAUACAGUCAUUAUCAUGACCUCAAACCUUGGUGCCGAGCAUCUCAUAAGUGGACUUUCAGGAAAAUGCACCAUGCAAGUUGCUCGUGAUCGAGUAAUGCAGGAAGUAAAAAAACAUUUCAGACCAGAAUUGUUGAAUUCGCUGGAUGAAGUUGUUGUAUUUGAUCAUCUAUCUCAUGAGUAAUUGAGGAAGGUUGCAAGGUUGAAAAUGAAGGAUGUAGCUAGUCGUCUUGCUGAGAGAGGAAUUGCACUGGCAGUUACAGAUCCAGCACUAGAUUAGAUUAUAUACUUGCUGAAAGCUAUGAUCCUGUAAGUGUUAUUCUAUAAUCAUCAUCUUAAUCAUUUUCUUAUAGAAAAAAUGUUGGUUUAAAUAUAUAUGCUUGAAGCCCUCGAGAAUACACCAUAUUUUUACUUUUAAUCCCAGUAAAAAGUAUUUUUUGUUUUUGUUUUAUUCAUUGCAAAUACAUCAUAUUACGUGUUUUGUUUCGGUCAUUGCAAACUUGUUCAUUUUGAAAUUGGUCCUUGAAAAUAUAUCAUAUUUUGCUUUAGGCCUGAUAAUAUUCAUUUUAACCCUGGAGAGGCUAAAAUCGAAUAUUCUACAUAUUCUGGCCUACAACUGCAAGUACCAAAUAAAACAUUUUACAAAGACCAAACUAAAAUAAAAAAUGUUAUAUUUGAGGGGGCUAAAAGCAUAUUUAAAAAACAAAAAUAAUACUAACUAUGUUAUAUUAUUGUGUAGGUGUAUGGUGCUAGACCAAUUAGAAGGUGGCUUGAGAAGAAUGUGGUGAGUGAGCUGGCUAUGAUGUAUAUAAAGGAAAAAAUUGAUGAGAACACAACUGUAUACAUUGAUGUUGGUCCUAAGGGAAGUGACUUGUCAUACCGUGUGGAAAAGAAUGGAGAGAUUGUUAAUGCUGAAACUGGGGUGAAGUCAGAUAUUUUGAUACAGAUACCAACUUGACCAAAAACUGUCGGUGAAAAUGGAUAUGAGGUCAUUGGUGAUGAUGAAACGGAAGAUUAAGCUUUAUUAGUUGUAACUAAGUUUUUAAGUGAAUGUCUUGGGCUAUGUCACUUUAGUUCUUGAAUGCAUCGAAAUUGCAAACAUAUUCACAAGUAUCUCUUUUAUUAGUUCUUUUGGCCCUCAAAUAUGUUUUAACUUUUAAGGGAAUCAAUUUAGUAGAUAUGUCUCGGGUUAUAACUAUGAGAUAUCAUAUAUCUAGCAAUUCGAUCUGAACCUCCAGGACUUAUCUAUCGGACAUCAUUUCUUUUUAUUAUACCAUGAACUAAUACUUCUAAAAGAUAUCGAUUGCACCCAUGAACUAAUACUUCGAAAGGUAUUUAAUUGAUCCAUGUGUACUUCUAAAGCAUAUAAAUGACCAAUAAACCUAAUGCCUUAAGAUUUUGAUUGAAUGUGGUAUCUGCAAUGGUAGGUGGUCUGGGAACCUCUAUUUUCCUGGCAAAAUUCUUUAUGAGAUCAACUAAAUCCAUUUUCUUAAGGACUUUAAUAAACCAUUCUACAAGAGUCCUCUGGUGAAUUACUACACACUUCUAUGGUUUCAUGGUGUUGAACAACUGUUAGUGGGAUUACCACAUCAGAUGUUAGAUGUUUUAGUGAAGGGUUGGUUUGUUCAGAAGUAGGUGAGGGACAGGGACAGGGACAGAGUCAGAAACCAUACCUUGAGCUAUCUCAGGUGUUAGCUUCUGAGCUGCCUUUGUUUGUAGCUUAUGAGUGUCCGGCCUUGUCAGCCUCUGAUGCGACAUUCUUUGAUUUGAUAUAACAAACUCUAACACAUUGAUGUGUGCUGGUGGUUCACGAUAAGGAGAGAAUGAAAGAGGGACACAUAUAUGUAUACAGGCUCGCCAUAAAACUGGUUCACGAUAAAACUAGUAGUUACGUCCAGUUAAGAAAUCUCAUGCUAUGGCGACAACGAGGAAAGUAACGACGAUCUCAUUGAGUAAUUAUUUGAUAGAUUGUCAAACGUUUGCCAUAUGGAAUGUGGUGACCCUUUUUUAUGAAUUCCCACAACUUGAAAAAAUGGGAAAGGCCGAGAGGAAACAUUUGAAACCUUGGAUCAAAAUAACAUGAAAAAAAAAGAUGAAAUACCAAAUUGUUAUCUGAAAUUAAGUUAAUGGACCAAAAUCACUUUAUUAUUUUCUUAUCACGCAAGCAGCUGACUUUGGAAUUUGGUGAUGCAAAUAGUGGUUUGGAUCUAGAGGCCGAAGAAGAUGUCGAUCGAUGGGAUGUCCAGUUAUCAUCAACUCCAGGAGAAAAUAACAUAAGAGUUUUUUAUCACUCUCGACUGUUUUUGUCCAUAAUCUGCCAUUUACAACCACGUACGUAUGCAUUUUUUUUUCUUUUCGAAGAAAGAAUGAUUCUUAAUUUCAACAAUUAUCUGCUUUACUAAUAUCUAGAUGUAUAAACUUUUGUUAUAGUGAGAAGGAAGUAGAAGAGGUCUUAAGCCGCUUUGGUACUGUCGCAAAAGUUCAUGUAUUUUGGGGACUCACUGUUGUUCAUUUCUCUAUUCAAGAAUUUGGAGCCAGGUAAUUAACAGUUGCAUAGAAUUGUUGUCUGUCUCACCUUUAUUUUUACUAUUAUUAUUGGAAAUCUUUCUUUUGCAAUUCAAGUUGUAGGAUCAAUAUGGUACUAUGUAUGUUUUUUAUGCCUAAUUAUGUUGUUUUAUUUUGAAAGAAACUUUAUAUCUAAAAAGUUAUACAAGAUUCUAAGUUAUAUGAUGAUGUUUUGUUUUGUCCAAUUAAUCAGAGUAGGUUGGAAAUAUAUAAUUCCAUUGCCAAUUGAAUUAUACCUACAACAUCAUUAGACUCCAGAUAGCUGCUACAUUUUCUAACUCUAAUACUAUCAAAACUUUUGCAGAUAGUCGUCAUCAGUCGAUAAUGUCUUGUUUUACCUUCAAUGUAUGCAACAUUUUGAUCAUAACUAUUUAACAGGGUGAGAGCAAGUAUAAAUUGGAACGACUUUAAAGGAAGACAUGUGAUUGUCGUCCCAGACAUACAAAGGUCUUCAAAUAAUGAAGAUGAUUAAGUAUAGCAUGAACAUUGCAUUGUGGUCAGUGUUAAAACUGAAAAUGUUACUUUUUGGAUUAUCAUUACAAUUUAUGGGUUGCAAUGUGUAGGGACAUCGUUUCAAUAUAUCAAGAUUUUAAAACACUCAACUGCAGAGAGAGGAAGAGAGCAAAGUGGCUGAAGCGAGUUUCAUGCGUCCCGACACAGUAUGUUUAUUUAAAUGUUAUAAAUUGCUAUGCUAACUGUGAUUAUAUUGUUUCAGCUUCUGUAAUAUAUUGAAAUUCUGAAUAGUGCUUAUUAUAUCUUUAUUAUUUGAGGAAACAUUUUAGUGAACACACGAAAGAUGAAAGAGGCAAAUAGAGACAUUUUACAUCUUACUUUUUGCGACUUGCUGUUUUUUAUAUUUUGUGUUCAUUGAUGUCUUGAAUAAUCAUCAAUUUGAUGAUAUUUCUGCUCCCACGUUUCUUUCCGCUGUAGCUAAAAAUAAUCAAUGCGAAUAUGCGAUAUUUUAUGUUUUGAUUUAUUUGUGUAAAAACUAUUUUACCUAUUGAUGUGGAUUUAGUUUACAUGAGAUGAUCGAUCUAAGAAAGUAAUUUCUUCUGAUCAAUUAUCACGGUAUCCGUAUCAAAUAACAACGAAAAGAAGAAGAAAAAAACACACACACGGAGUCGGAGAAGAGGAUGGUGAAAUGUGCCACUACCUAGAAGAUUGAUAGACCAAUGAUGAUGAUUCAAAACAAUGGUAAGGAUGUCAUUGGUAAAAAUUAAUUAAGUUUCAAUUGAAGAAAAAAAAAAUGAGACAAAGUCACUCACCAUUUUCAUAACUCUCAUAUUUUCAGAUGAACUAAACCUUAAUAAUCUAAAGUUUGAUUGAGAUUUAUGUAAAUAUCAAUAAUUGUUAUUCACCAUUCAUCAUUAACGGAAGUUCAUUAAACUAUUAUUAUAAUAAUUUUAAUUAAUUAAGGUGAAUAAUUAAAUUGUUAAAAUCAAUUUAAUAAAAAAUAAAAUAAGUGCAUAUUGCAUUUCUUUUUAAGGGUAUGUUGGGUAAAACUAGAACAACCAGCCAAUAUGACAUUUUGAGUUGGGUAAAUGAGUGCCCGUGGUUUGCAAAAUUGAUUUCUUAAAUUAAUUCUUUAUUUGAAAGUAGUAUGGUAACUGAUUUUUAAGACAGAAAAAAAAAAAAAAAAUUAAAUUAAAGAAUAGGAUGAUCAAUUAAACCUUUGGCUACUCCAGAAUUUUUUAAAGUAAGGGCGUGAAGGGCUUUAAUUUGUGGGGUAAAAUUUAGGAGUAUAAAGAUCUAGUGUGCUCGCCCCUAAAAAGUUUUGAGUCCCUAACUAUUCUAACACCUGAACUCGCCGAUCGCCUCCGUCAGACCCACCACCGUCUUCAUAAGCCCACACUCUCUUCUCACAAUUUUGUUAAUCGCUCUAUGUCUGCGAAUUCGCUAAACGACGUUGCUUCGUGCUCAUCAGAGAUGGAGAAGUUCCUGUGCGAGUUGCUGUUGGACUCAACCCAGCCAAUCUCCGAACGCUUCAGAGCACUCUUCUCUCUUCGCAACCUCAAAGGCCCCGCCCCUCGCACCGCCCUUAUUCUCGGUUACUCACUUUUCCUUUUCUCUUCAAUUUUACAGCUUGCGCAAAUAUCUUAUGAGUUAUUUUCGACAUAGUUUGUGCAGACAACUUACUCCUUCCAGAAUGAAACAUAAGCAAAAGUUGAUGUAUUUCAUCUAAAAUCUAAACCAUUUACUUAAACUUUUCAAGUACCUUUUUGUUUAUAGUUCAUUGCGGAGGAGUAUAGCUUAUAAUUAAAAGUUGAUCUUUUGUUAUAGAAAUAACUUAUACACAAUCACUUGUAAGAUAAGUUGUUUAUCCAAAUAGGGCCUUAACAUAGAAAUAACUUAUACACAAUCACUUAUAAGAUAAAUGCUUAAUUAAGUUGUUUAUCCAAAUAGGGACUUAAUCAAUGAUUGUUGUUAAGUGUAUUAUUGCAUGGAUUCUGAACCAGCUCUUCUUUCUCUUUGGCAGCGACAAGAGAUUCAUCAAAUUUGUUGGCACACGAAGCUGCAUUUGCAUUAGGGCAAAUGCAAGAACUCGAAGCCAUACCUGCUUUAACCUCAGUUCUUAAUGAUCUUUCCUUGCAUCCCAUUGUUCGCCAUGAGGUAGUACCGUAGUAGCCUUCUAUUUCUUCCUUUUCUGAAUGUGUCGCUUUUUUCUGUUUCAAUUUUAAGAUGAUGAUUGUGUUUGUUUCAAUCUUGCUUAGGCAGCUGAAGCACUAGGCGCUAUUGGUUCAGAUAGUAAUGUUUCUCUUUUGAAGCAUAGUUUGGAUUCUGAUCCAGCUCAAGAGGUUCGAGAAACAUGUCAAUUAGCUCUUCAACGUAUUCUCAAUUUAAAACAUGCUGCUGCUACUGAUGAUUCGACCGCACCUGGUAUUUCUCCGUUUAAGUCUGUUGAUCCUGCGGCACCGGCCAGCUCUUGUUCUUCAGUUAGUCAACUAAGGUUUGUUUGGUUCAUGCUGUUAGAAACACUCUUGUUAACUAGAGAGAGUAAUUUGUAUGUUGCUAACUCGGUUUUAAAUUAAUAAUAUUAGGGAUUUACUUCUCGAUGAGGAAAAAGGGAUGUAUGAGCGCUAUGCAGCUCUUUUUUCACUUCGAAAUGAUGGCGGAAAUGAAGCUGUUGCUGCUAUUGUUGAUUCCUUGGGUUCCAAGAGUGCUUUACUGAAACAUGAGGUUUGAUAAGUACACUUUUAUGUCAAUAAACGUUGUCUGCAUUCAGUAUGUUUUGUAUGAACUGCACAUAAGUGAUAAGAUAUGCACUUCACAUGAGAAAACAUCAGGUCAAUCUAGAGGGUUCCAUAUCGUUCGUACUUUUAAAUGUUGAACCAUUAUAUUCCUUGGAGCAGAAUAAGCAUGUAAUUGUCAUGUCAAAAGAAGUCAGUUGUUCUUCAGUAGUUUAAUAAAACAAUAAUUCAAAUAAUAUCAUACGACUGCCUUAAUGUUGCUGCUUAACUUUGAGUACACAUGUUUGAUACUCUGAAUUUUUUAACAACUGUAUUUGCUGAAAUUUUAGGUUGCAUAUGUUUUGGGCCAAUUGCAAGACAAAGCUGCUUCAGCUGCUCUAUCCAAUAUACUUAGAGAUGUGAAUGAGCAUCCAAUGGUUAGACAUGAGGCUGCUGAAGCUCUUGGUUCAAUUGCAGGUAUUGCAUUUAAAACCACAUACUAUGGAAUCAUGUGACCUAUGUUGCAGUCAAUAAUAUAUGGUAUUAAUAUUGCUUUGUGGUGUCAUCCAUAUAUAAAAAGAUAAAUGCAAGCAUAUUGUGUAGUGUCUAGAAUUCAUGAAUAGAUAGUAAUGUAGCAGUCUAAGUAAAUGUUCUUUUUGGUAAUGAGCAUUGAACAGUUCAACUUAACUUAGGUUGCAGCUUUUAGUAUUUAUGGUGACUCGGUUCAUAUCUGUAUGGUUUUGACUGGUCAAAACUCAAACAUAAGCUCAUUCUCUUAGUUUGCAAAUAAAAAAGUAGAGGUGUUGGAGAAGGCACCUGUUAGUUUUUACUAUUCAAAGUGAUUUUAAAGUUUUAUGCUUCUUGGUUGGAUUUGGUCGAGAUAUAUUAUGCAUCAAUUUGAAGAGCGUCUAACUAUUAGUUCAUGGGUGCAGUCAAUAUCUUUUAGUUAGAGAUGUAAUUCUUUUUCUCACUAAAACCUUUCUAUUCUUUUAAUACGUUUGAUAUUUAUUUUUUACUUUUAUCAGUUGUGUUAUGAUAUUAAUUUUCUGAGUUUGUGGUGGAGGCCCUCCGAAAAAUAAUGUUUCUGUGCACCUAUGCCCUUCCAUCUCUUUUAUAUCUUGCAACAAAAUAUCUCGUCUUUAUUAAUUCUAUAAUAAUAGCACAUGAACUAUGAUGUAUAUAAGGUAAUGUUUGGCACACAGAAAAUGGAACGGGACAAUCUUUCUGUUCUCUUUGGUUCUACCUUUUUACAUGGACCAAUGAAUACCAUAAGGCUUUGUCACGUAUUACUUCAAAGAUAGAUUUUUUUCAUGUAAAUACUUUGUGAUUUUGCCUGUUAUAUAGUUUGUUUAGUCUCUGCGUCUGGAAUUUUUAAUCUAUGUUCUAUUUGGUCAACUCUUUUUACUGGUGCUUCUACAUCUCUUUUUCACACUUGUCCAAAUCACUUAAAACAUGAAUUUAUUUCCGUUGGCAGCUACCCCAACUUUUUUAGUUGAACCAAAAUUUACUAAACAUAGAAUAGAACACAAAUGUUAUGUUUUGUGCUUUUCUUCUGUCCUAAGAUAUUUACCAAAUGCUACCCAAGUUUGACUUCAGUUUAAUUUUGAGAAACUUUAUUUAAUCUUAGUUUUACUUUAAUUUAAUUUUGCUUAACUUUAUUUAAUCUUUUACCAAGUUUGACUUUUAUUUAAUUUUGCCUCUGGUAGAGUCACAUGACAGAUAUCAGUUGACUAAUUAAUCAUUCAUUGCCUCAAUGUUUUUCUUUAUCACUAAGUAUAGUUGUGAAUACUUCUAAAUAUUCAAAUCUCCCCGUUUACAUAGUUCUUUUGUUGUAUGCUCUUAGAUGACCAAAGUGUAUCCCUUCUUGAGGAAUUUUCGGCAGACCCAGAGCCUCUUGUUGCACAAAGUUGUCAAGUUGCUCUAAGCAUGCUAGAAUUUGAAAGAUCAGGGAAAUCGUUUGAGGUAUACACCAUGGUACUUGCUGAAGAUUUUCAUAAUUUGCUUCAAUGUUUGUUGACACUACUAUCUUUUCUCUUGGUUGCAGUUCCUGUUCAUGCGUACUCCAAUUGUACAUUAAAUGUUUUCUUAUGGUGAUGUAUUUCAAUGAUGUCAAGAAAUGAAGAGUCCGUAUGAGAUUGAAGUGACAAGGUCAGCAAAAUAACGUAGACAGAGAAAAACUGGUGGAUUUCUACAUUUCUUAACUCAAAGUUGAUUGAAUUAGGAAAAACUAGCCCUAUAAAACAAGGGUUGAACUGUGUUUUGUUAAUUUAUGACAAGAAACAUUUUGUGAUGAAUUGGAAGAAUAUUAUACUUGCCAAAAGUAAAGUCUACCUUUUAUUAUAGCUCUGCCACUGUGUGGUAGGAGACAUUUUAAUAUUAUUUACUUGUGGAAAAAUUGUAAAACUCUGGAUGCUUUAUAAUUCAUACUUCAUACCAAGAUUUGGCUGACAGCAGAAUUUGGGAUUUUGAUAAACAAACUAGCAAAUUUUAAACUCUGCGGUCAGAAUGAGAAUAACUGGCUUUCCUCGAUCAUAAUUAAGAAUAACUUACAUGUAUUUUGUUGUGAUGAUACAAUUGCUUUCAAAAGCACAUAAAUCAGUCCUAUAAGGAAUUCUCAGUAGAGAUACAAGAGAAAGUGGAUCACAAGAGAGAAAGUUGCUGAUUGUGAAAGAGUGGAGACUUUCGUUUCGGAUACUUAUUGAGUUAAAUAUACUUAAACUGUGUAAUUUAAGUGCCACUGCAUGUUUAACCUUCCUCCCUUAGCAUGUUUAACCAAAUACUACUUAACAAGCAAAGCAUGAUAUAAAUCAUAUACAUGCUGGAAGAAUGUAAGUGUAACCUUGGACAUUGAAACGGAAAUAAUGUUGCUCUUGCUCGUUUCUUUACCUUCCAUAACUUGACAUGGCAUGAUAGCUUUGUAAGUACCAAAAAUACAUGGAGAAGACUCAUAGUGUGAUAGUAUCAACAUUAUUUUACUUUACCUGGAUUUUUUUAAUAUUCUUUUAUAUAAAUUCCUUUUUCCUUGAGUUAGAAAGACCUGGAUAUUUAGUUAAAAAUACUUGUAUAUAUAGUUGAAUUUCAGACCGAUCCAUAUAAAAGAACAACUAUUAGAAAACUGUUUAAAAUGAUUUAUAAUUAAAUAUCUCGAAAUAUUAUUUUUUUCACAGCUUGUGGAGGAAGAUAUAAGUUUUUUCGAUAGGGUGUUGAGGAAGAUUUUUGAGUUGACUAAACAAAAUGAAAUUGCAUGUAAAAUAAUAAUAAAAAUCGUAUUCAAUUCAAGUACCGAUUAAUUUGAAAGAUUCAAUUUCACUAUUUACCUACAACCGAUUUAUAGAACUUGAGGGAAUCAAACCUAAAUAUUAAUUAAAUUUAUUUAGUUGGUGGUGUUCCAAUAAAUUUAAAAUUGCAGCAUGUCUGUCAUGUUUAGUAUAUAUACUAUACUAUUAUUGGGCAUCUAAAAUCAAAAUAAUAUUCUGAGUGUACUAUAUAUAUAAUAAGAGGGAGAGGAGAGAGAGAGUGGUAGUUCCGAGUUGGAGGAGUGUGUUCGUGUGAGAAUCUUUUAUUCUUCAAUGUCGAACCCUCAAAACGCGAAGCCAUGGAAAGCAGAGUACGCAAAAUCAGGUCGUUCGUCAUGCAGAAGCUGCAAGAGUCCCAUUGCAACCGAGAAGCUUCGUCUUGGCAAGAUGGUUCAAUCCUCCAAAUUCGAUGGCCUCAUGCCCGUAAUCAUAACUUCCCCUUUUCUCUAUUUCAUUUCUUGCUUUUCUUUUAUUAUUUCAAUAAUGCCCCAUUUUUAUCAAUGUACGUUUACAUAAGUUGCAACAUUCACUAAUUUCUUGAUUUUUAGACCUAUUUUAGGGUUUAGGUUACAGUUUAAACAGUAAUGCCAUUAUAUUUUUAGUAUUAUUUUUUUUUUAAUUAAUAUGUAGUAUAUAUUUGUAACAGAUGUGGAAUCAUGCUGAGUGCAUAUUGAAGAAAGCCAACCAGAUAAAAUUGUAUGAAAAUUUAUACUUAUUAAAAUUUCAGUUUGCUUAAUGUUUUCACAAUGGUAAAUCGUUAGUGUUACUGUUCUUGUAUAGAGUUGAUGAUGUUGAGAACUUAGAGUCGCUUCGUUGGGAAGAUCAGCAGAAGAUUAGAAAGUACAUUGAGAGCGGUGGUGGUGGUGGUAGUGGCACACCGAAGUCGAAUGCUGCCUCUAAGUCGACUGCUGGAAAAAAUAUUGAAUAUGGUAUUGAAGUUUCGCAAACAUCACGCGCCACUUGCAAACAUUGUGGUCAAAAAAUUAUCAAAGGAGAGGUUGGUUUUUACUAUUUCUGUAUGUAUAGUGUUGUAAUUGCAAUGGUUAGCUUCUUACAGCGUGUAUGUAUUGUUAAUUGGACCUGAUGAAUUUUCUUUUUGGUGUGAAAAUGAGGGCAUAAUUAGUAACGUGCUAAUUAAAAUGGAAAUUUUGAUUAUUUUGGUUAUCAUGAAUUCAUGAUUAACUUAUGAAAAAUAACAUAUUACACAUUUAGUAAUUCCUUGAUGAUAUUGAUGAUUUAGGGGAUGAAACUAUUAAGAUGCAUGGUUUUUACUUUGUUCUAAUAUCUAGCGGUUCGUGUUUGAUAUCACGAAUUUUGCCUUGAUGGCUAAGAUUUUUGCUGCCUAUCUCUUUUGCCUGGCGAAGUUGCUAUUCCAUCGCGUGUUAAAUCUUUGACCACGCCCUGGCAUUCAGGACUAGAAUCAUUAUGCUAUUUCACUCUAUUCUCCAUGCUAAUAUUCAUUUUGUAUUGCCAAAAUCCUCUCUAGAUAGCCUAACUCAUCAUUUGAGUAAAAGGAAGUUUUGUGGAUGUUCAUAAAUUUCUGGAUGUUGUUUGUUACAGCAAAUUGUAACAUGUCGAAGAAUAUAAAGCUACCUCAAAGAUAUGUUUUAUGAAUUGUGUGGUGGUGGACAUGAGUGAUUUUAAUAUAAUUAUUCUAAGCUCUUCCACUCUAAAACCAUUCAACCAACUUCCCUCCCUCUUAACUAUGAUAUAAUUUCCUUAAAAUGUCAUUUAGUUCAAAAAUGUUCUGGCAAUGUUCAAUUAUUAUCUACGAAUGUCAGCUUUUUCGUUUUGCUAUUGCAUGAAAGCUGCACAACUUACAAUAGCGACUAGUUUCUUCAUGCUUGUUAAACUUCUUCAUUUCUGCAGUGUUAAUAUUUUUAAAUCUGAUUGCCAUUAAGAGAUCAGUUUUUAUUCAGAUGCAUAUUAGAAUUCAGAAUGGUUCCUAAUUUUUCAUGAUCAUAUUGAUCUAUGCAUGAGUUAUUGGUUUUGGAUUAUCUCUCCUCACUGACUAUUCACUAAUUUGAUUUUAAGAUUCGCAUAUCUACUAAGCCUGAUGGUCAAGGUGCCAGGGGUUUGGCUUGGCACCAUGCUAAGUGUCUCUUGGAACUAUCUCCAUCAAUUGAAGUGGAUAAUUUGCCUGGAUGGAAUAGUCUCUCAUCAUCUGAUCAAUCGGCUGUCAGUGAGUUGGCUACAAAAGACCAUCCUACAAAUAGAGGAGGUAUGGUGAAUGAUAUGCUGCAGAACGGCUGGUUUUUAGUGCUGUAGUUACUUUCUCACCAUUUUCCUUUCAGGUGGUAGUGGUACAAAUGUCGAGGCUGAAGAUGUUAAAGAAUCCACACAACAAUCCUCUUCCAAAGGUGGCACUAAACGGGGGAAAGAUGCAGAGGGUGAGCAAAAGUCAAAGGCCGCUAAAGUCAAGGGAGAUGUGUCUGCGAGCAGGGUAGCGGCAGUGAAAAAUGCUGAUGACUCCGGGGCGGCACGUGAUCUUGAGAAUAGACUGGAGGCCCAGAGCAAAGAUCUCUGGGCUCUGAAGGAUGAUCUUAAAAAGCAUGUGACAACAGCAGAGAUGCGUGAAAUGCUGGAUGCCAAUGGUCAAGAUUCAACAGGAUCAGAGCUUGAUUUGCGUGACCGCUGGUAAUUUAAUCACUCGUGACUUUUCUGCUCUGAUCCUUAAGAAGCUCUGCCGCAUAUAAGGCUGUACUUAUAAAGAUUAAAGUUUGUCAUCCAUUAUGUUACUGUCCCUUUCUACUAAGAUGCCAGUGAUUUUACCAAUAGAAUAUGUUUAUUUGUCUACUGAGUGUCUACUAUUAUGCACAAUUCAUCAAAAGAAAAUAAUUUAAAUGCAAGAAAAUCUAGCAUGUCCAUGAUUGUCUGGAUGAGGUCAUAAUUUCCAGAUCCAUUCUGCUUUCUUUGUGAUGGUUUUGAAAAUAUUAUCCUGCAAGCUAUGAUUUAUUUAUUUCUCCAAUUUUGAUAGUUAUUAUUGUCAUUUCAGUGCUGAUGGAAUGAUGUUUGGAGGACUUAGUCCUUGCUCUCUAUGUGAUGGUUUUCUGCGUUAUUCUGGAGGAAUGUACCGGUGCACUGGAUACAUUUCCGAGUGGAGUAAAUGUUCCUACUCUACCUGCGAACCAAAGCGUGCCCAAGGGAAGUGGAAAAUCCCAAAGGAAACAGAUAAUCAGUACCUUAAAAAGGUCUGUAAAAAGAAAAUAGUCAUAGAACAAAACCAAUGUAUUGUGACUUAUUUUUGUCUAUUGUUUACAGUGGUUCAAAUCUCAAAAAGGGAAGAAACCAACUAGGAUAUUGCCUCCGCCAUCAUCAAGGACUUCUGCUGAAAGUCAAAUUUCUGCAGGCCAGCACCAACCAUCAAACAGUGAAACUUUGGCUGAUUUGAGAGUUGCCAUCUCUGGGUUGCCUGAAGAUUCCAUUGUAUAAAUUCUGUUUUUUCCUUUACCUUUAAUAAUUAAUGCCGCAGUCCCCCAAACCAUUUGAGGAAUUGUCAUGGUUAAUUUUGUUUUAUAGUAUCUAGUAUUCAUCUUAUGUAAGGUGCUUUUACAGGUGGAAUGGAAACGUAAAAUUGAUGCCGUAGGUGGAGUGCUUCAUGCAAAAGUGAAGAAAGGUAUCUGCUCCACCAACCGAUUUAUGAAAAUGUUUUUUUUAAAAGAGAUACUUGUGAUUUUUGUAAUUUUUUGCUUGAACUGAUAACUUACAGAUACUAACUGCUUGGUGGUCAGUGGAGCGCUUAAGGAUGAAGUUGAGAUGCGGAAGGCAAGGUAUUGGUGAAUUCAAAUGCAGUCUCUGAUAUUUCCUUUUUCUUUGAUUAUUUCUGUCAAAACUAACUUGGAAGAGUUUGAUCUGUAGGAGGAUGAAAAUACCAAUAGUCAGAGAGGACUAUUUGGUAGACUGUAUGGAAAGAAAGAAGAAGCUUCCAUUUGAUAUGUACAAAGUUGAAAUGAUUGGUGAGGCUUCUAGCAUGGUCACCAUCAAAGUCAAGGGGCAAAGUGCUGUUCAUGAUGCUUCUGGCCUACAGGAUUCUGGCCACAUACUAGAGGAAGGGAAAAGCAUAUAUAAUACAACUUUGAAUAUGUCUGAUUUGUCUACUGGUAUUAACAGGUUGGUUCAUUCCAUCUUAGUUCUCAUUUUCACCAUUCAGCUUAAUAUUUUAGUUGUUAACCAGGGAAUAGCAGUUUGUGAUUGAUUGAUAAAACUGAACCUAAAAGUAUGCAACUUUUUAUUAUAAUGCUUUGUUUCAUAUAAAACAUCAAGCGUCAAUUGUCAAGAACUGUUAUGUUCUAUAUUGAGUUUAUUUGUCCUUCUGAAGUUGACUAUCACUGCCAAUUGGAGAGAAAGUCAAUGAAAGGGGGACAGGUUUUAGAGAGAAUUCUGAAACUUUGAAAUUCUUUAUUUCUGAAUGUCAUUCUGAUACUAUUGAGAGUACAUGAAACUAUCUGUAGAUAACUGCCUUCCUAACUAACUGCUGUGUAACAAAAUUCUGUUAUCUGUCACUAGCCAACCGAAAUACUAAUCUACAAGCUAUACAGAUGAGUAGAGAGCUUAGAUGCAGAAACUAUUGACCACUAUAACCGAAACUGCACUAUCACUAGAACAAUUUGGAUGUGAUUGCUUUUAAUUAUUACGUAGUUGAUUGAUGAAUUCUUAAAUAUUUUGAUCAUGGAAUCAGGGCAGUAAUUAUGCAGCAAUUGUAGCUAUUUACUGUGAUGGUGACUAAUGGGAGCACUGCGGUCUGGGGCUGUUGGGUCUAAUUUCCCAUUGAUUUCUGUUGCAUCACUUUCUUUUUUAAGAUUCAUGUUAAUACCCUCUACAAAAAAACUAGGUCUCCAUCAUCAUCUUCUAACUUUUGUUUCGCAUGUAAAGCUACUACAUCCUGCAAAUAAUUGAAGAAGAUAAUGGGUCAGAUUGCUACGUGUUUCGCAAAUGGGGUCGAGUGGGAAAUGACAAGAUUGGAGGGAACAAACUGGAGGAAAUGUCGAAAUCUGAUGCAAUCAGGGAAUUCAAACGACUAUUCUUUGAGAAAACUGGAAACCCUUGGGAGGCCUGGGAACAAAAGACUAUUCAGAAGCAACCUGGAAGAUUCUUCCCCUUGGAAAUUGUACUGUUUCUUGUUUUAUUUUUAAAUUAUUUGUUUGACGGAUAUCAUUUCCACACAUCAGGUUGAUGUUCAGCUGAUGUUUGUUUUGAACACUUGAUUUUGUAGGAUUAUGGAGUUAACAAACAAGUUGUGAAAAAGAGUAAAAACAAUGCUGACAGCAAAUUACCCCCUCCAUUAAUAGAAUUGAUCAAGAUGCUCUUUAAUGUGGAAACAUACAGGUCAUAGUCAAAUGCCUCAUCAUUUUAUUUGAAUAUGUCUGAUGCAAUACUAAAUCUUGAGUUUUGUAGAUCCGCCAUGAUGGAAUUUGAGAUCAAUAUGUCCGAAAUGCCACUCGGGAAACUGAGCAAAAGUAAUAUCCAAAAAGGUAUGUUAACACAAUUCACUUUUGGUCCUCUAUGUUUUCCGUCGUAGCAAUUUUGACCCCCUAACAAAAACAAUGCAAUUUUGACCCCCUAAUUUUCCCAACUAUGCUGAGAAGCCGCCACGUGUCCCAAAAAAGGGGCCAAAAUCGCAACUUUUUGGUAAAGAUAAGGGUCCAAAAGAGCAUAUUUCCCUAAACAUGGCAAAAUUAGGGGGUCAAAAUUGCAUUUUUUUUGUUAGGGGGCCAAAACUGCUACGAUGGCAAACAUAGGGGUCCAAAAGUGCAUUUAAGCCUUAUUACUUUAAAACUUUUUACAAGCUACGGUAGUUUCUCAUUUUCUUUCAUUGGCAGUGUCAAGCUAUCCCAUAUCAUGUAUUAAUGUGAUGUCUGCUUCCUCAUCCCAGGUUUUGAAGCAUUAACAGAUAUACAAAAUCUUUUUAAAAGCAGCAAUGCUGAUCCAUCAGUCAGGGAUAGCUUGCUCAUUGAUGCUAGCAAUAGGUUCUUCACUGUGAUCCCUUCCAUUCAUCCACAUAUUAUUAGGGAUGAGGAUGAUUUUAAGUCAAAGGUUUGUGUUACCUUUAUUUAUUUAUUUAUACAUCAUAUGUAUCGUGUUAGGCUUAGCAAUAUCAUUAAAUUAGACUGAUGCUUUUACAGUAGUUUUCAACUUUCAGCCAUGACUGACUAAAAGUACAUAACUUCGGCAGUUGAGGUGUAAAACUCAAGUGUUGAGAUUAUUUUAUAUUUAAAUACAGUUACAAUUAAUAGACAAUUUAUAAUGGAUCUUCACAUGAUUCUUUGAGUUUGUUUCCUUGCAAUUUGACAGUGUUAUUAAAUUUCUAAAUUAUAAGACUAAUCAAAUAAUAGUAGUAAUGCAAGGCAUGCGAUUUUUUUAUCUUCAUUGUUUCAACUUUGUCCAAUCUCCAAUGAAUGUAAAUAAUAUUAAUGAUGGCAAAUUCUCUUAUUCUAUAUGGACUGUGGUUUUGCCUGUGGUUUUGAUGCAUUUGAGUCGCUUUUACAAUAAUUUGAAUAACAGUCUUGCUUUUUUGUCAGGUGAAAAUGUUGGAAGCCCUUCAAGAUAUUGAAAUAGCCUCAAGAUUAGUGGGAUUUGACGCCAACAACGACGACUCCAUUGAUGAUAAUUAUAAGAAGCUUCACUGUGAUAUAUCUCCACUUCCUCAUGACAGUGAAGAUUUUAGAUUAGUUGAGAAGUUUCUACAUACUACUCAUGCCCCCACACAUACGGUAUGUCUAUAUUUGGUUAACUAGUGUUUAUUUGUGUGCUCAUUUCUGGUGUGAGCUCUCAUUUCUUACAAUGUACAAGUUCUUACGAUAUUUGUAAUCCGUCUAAACAGGACUGGAGUCUUGAGCUAGAAGAAGUUUUUUCACUUGAAAGAGAAGGUGAAUUUGAUAAAUAUGCCCCUUACAGAGACAAAGUUGGCAACAGAAUGCUCCUAUGGCAUGGUAAGUUUUGGUAUUACUAGCUAUUAGUUCGAUUAUAUGUUUGCUUUUAUGAAAUAUAUCCUCGUAUGAUGUAAUAAAAUAAAAUAAAUAGGAGAAUUAGAAAGAAAGGGCAUAUUUCUAAACAUGAUUUAAAACCUUCAGAACCUUCCAAUCUGUAUACAAAGGAAAAUCAAAGAUAAGCCACAUGAAAAGACCAAAUGAGUCCUCUUGAUUUAUAGUGUUUCCUUUGAUAAAGAUUGUAUACAAGGGCUGUGUGAAAAAUAUCCAUGUUUGUAUGGUAUCCUGCUAUUCGUGAAAAUCGAUUAUUAGAAUUGAUCAAAUUAACAAAGGAGUGUGUUAAUGUUAUUUUAACUAUUUUUGAUAAGCGAAUGUGCUUAAAAGGGUUAUUAUCACUGUUAUUCUUUCAAUUCAUAUUACUAUUAAUUGUAAAAGAACAAACUUGACCCACAUUAAUUCAACAUGGUAUAGGAUAACUGUGCAUGGGUGUUUUCAGUAGUGUUUUUGACAUAAAUGGUUUUGACAAAAAUCAAAUAUGAAUUAACAAAUUUCUUUGUUUGGUUAUUGUUAACAUUUUAUAUUGUAUUUUCCUUGAUACUUAAAUGUUAUUUUAUAUUGAUUAUAUUAUAUAUUAUGUAUAAUAAACUGCAUAAAUAUUAUGAUACAUAUUAUAUAUUAGUACUUAUAUGUCAUUUUUGCAUGGGUGUAAAAACGAGUUUAAAACCUUUAGAACCUGUAAAUGUCCAUCGUGAAAUUCUUCCAAUAUAUCUGAUCACUCCAUAGGGAUGGUAAGAUACUACUAGACCAGAGGUGUUAUAAAGAGAGAAAAUUUUAGGUUAAAAAUUCUUUCAUUUCUCUUAACAAAAAACACCAGUUUCUAGGGUGAAUUACAAUAACUAGGAUGGAUGUUCUGUGGUAACGUGCAUACUACGGCUGUAUAUGAAAAUGUUCAGAAAUUUGAUUUAUACUCAUGUAACGACAAUGUUCUCUACUUCAGGUUCUAGGUUGACGAACUUUGUGGGCAUUCUUAACCAAGGACUGAGAAUUGCACCUCCCGAAGCCCCUGCAACUGGUUAUAUGGUUCUGUCUAUUAAUCCCUUUUUAUGUUGAUGUUUUCAUGCAUCUGUUUACCUUUCCGUAGCAAUACUAUAAUCUAAAUAUCUUUUGCCUGCAGUUUGGCAAAGGGAUUUACUUUGCUGACCUUGUCAGCAAGAGUGCUCAGUAUUGCUUCACUGAUAAGAAAAAUCCUGUUGGUCUAAUGCUUUUGAGUGAAGUUGCCCUUGGAAAUGUGUAUGAGCUCAAAAAAGCUAAGGUCAGUUGGAUUUAAUUCAAGUUAUGCUUAUCAGUUUAUAAGGGCAUGUGGUUGAUUAUUGUUUACAAGUGCACACAUUUUAAAUGAACAACAUUGCAUGGAACACUAAAUUUCUUCCAAAUGGAUAUGAAAGAAUGUAUAUAUUCAUUUUGUUUUUCGUUUUUCCUUUGUAAAAUAGUAUAUGGAUAAACCUCCGCAAGGAAAGCAUUCUACUAAAGGACUGGGCAAGAAAAUGCCCCUGGAAUCUGAAUAUGCAAAGUGGAGAGAUGAUGUCGUUGUUCCUUGUGGGAAACCGGUGUCAUCAAAUGUCAAGGCAUCUGAGCUCAUGUACAAUGAGUAUAUUGUUUAUAAUACCGCUCAAGUAAGUUUUAAGCUUGACUGUUGUAUUUUUGUUUUAUCAUUAGCAUACUUAAGUAUAAACCUUAAUAAAAUGAAAGUGGGAAAAUGUCUACUACCAGGUCUAUCAUUGACGUGCUAUUUUGAUAUAUUUAGAGCUUGCUUGUUUAAGAUUAAAAUUAAGUUAUUCUACUGUUGUGUUCAAAAGGUAUUAUAGUUUAUGUAAAGCCGAAAUCAACUAAUGUUUGGUUACAAUUAGAACAACUUCUAAUUUUAAAAUUUCUUGCAAAUUUCUGUUUUAAAAAAGAAACUCAUUAGCUUAUUUAAAUAAUAAAAAUCUAUUUUUUUGCAUUCUGAUUUUCUUCAAAAGCUUAUACAAACAAACAUGCUAACAUGGAGGUUGAAAUAACCCCUUCUCACCCCAUAGUAGAUGAAUUAUAUCUCUGAUGAAAGGAAAACUUUUAUGAUUAUAUACAAUUUUUCUUAUUGGAAAUACUACACUGAUAAAUUACCAAAAUUUAAACAGUUAAAGCCUGCUAUAUGGUACUUUUUUUUUUUUUUUUUGCCAGUAAACACGUUCAUGUGACUGAAUGUAAACCUUUUGUGCAGGUUAAACUGCAAUUCUUGUUGAAGGUGAGGUUCCAUCACAAGAGAUGAGGAUGGAAACUAGAGGUGUGCUGUUUUGGGGUAUCAUCUGUACGAAGUAGUUUUUUGACAAGGACUUGUACAUAGUCCAUGUGGGAUUCUCGUAACUUCUCGUGAUAAGGUCUCAUUUUGAGUUGACUGGAGAUCUUUCACCUUUUUUAUUUUUUGGGUGUGUUUGUUAGUGCAGGGAUCUAGUUGAAACUCGUCGUGUAGAGCAGAAAUCUCAUGCAUGAUCUGGUUAUGUGUAUAUAGAACUGCUAGUUUAACAUCAAACUUCUUGUUAUCAAGUUCUUCCCUUUGAAUGUGUUCACGUUAAGUGUGUUUACCUUCUAAAAAACAUUAAUGAAGCUUCUUAUAUUAUAACCCCAACGGUACUCAUUUUAAAUAGCAUUGAUAGGUCUUUUUCACUUAUUUGUUUGAGGUAAUUAUUAUGAUGAUCUGAAUUUUGUUUUCUUUAAGCAUUUUUUUGUUGUUGACAAAAAAAUUUAAGCAUGUUAGAAAUAAGAAACCUUGGGUGCAGGAAUAUUGUUUCGAAGCUAUAUUUACGUAAACUAGGCAGGCCAAAAAUUUAAGAAUGAAUAAAUUAAAGCUUCCCUGGUUAUGGAGUUAUUAUGGUCGUGUGGGGACUCAUUUUGUUGGACAAGAUAUUACAUGAUCUGCAUGUGUGUCACAUGAAAAGGUGAUGUUAACCAAUGUUGAUUAUAUGACCCAAUCAGUUCUUGGAGCUCUGUUAGCUUGAACUUUUGAACUCUUCUUUGAUAUAAACAGCCAAUUAUUUAAGUUAAUAAUGACGAAUUACUCUCGUGUUGCAAUUUUUCUGCUUUUUAAUGAUGUAUGAGCCAUUUCUAUGUGUCUCUGCUGCUUAGUGGCUCAUCUUACGUCACUGGAGACUUGAUAUUGCUGCCUAGCAAACACAGCUGGUCCUUAGUGUGAUGAAUAGGCUGUUACAAGAUUAUUUAUUAUUUGUUUUGUUAUUUUCUGAAUGCAUUUCAUCUGAAUCUGAUUGAGUAUUUUGACUUUCAAAUUCAUUAUUGUAGGUUUAAGAAUUAUAAGUAGUGGCCAUGUAUAAUAUUAAACCAUUUCUAAUUUAGUCUCUUGAGCGUGGGUGCGUGACUCAAUCAAUUAAGUGAUGUAAGGGAUCUACUUGAGUUAUUUUUCUUCUAAAAUCACAGAUUUGAUUUUAGAUUCUGAUAACGACCAUAAAUAUCUAAUAUUCCCGAAUCUGUAAAUACAUCUUUCUGCUUGAAUAAAAAAAAAAAAAAACUACAGGGAAUAUAUGAAUUUCAUAAAUGAUGCACUCACGAGUUACAAAUAGAAAAUUGACGAAUUAACCAUGGCAUAGGUUUUGUUUGAAUCUUUUUUUCAUGCAAAUGUUGGCCGUUGAUUUUGAUAUGUUCUAGAAUUUAUUCUAGCUUUGCUUUGGAUUUUUUGCCUUUCCAAUUUAUUUGUAGCCUUUAAUAUAUAGUUCAACACUUUUUUUUCUUCUUAAUCCUCGGUUACCAGGAAAAUGGGCAUUUGAUAAUCUGGUGUUCAAUAGUAAGGUAAGUAUGUUUGGGAAUCGAACAUGUAGCUCGAUUGUUAAAUUAACACACUUUUGAGUGUAGUAUAAAUAACUUUUCCUCAAAUUCAUUUAGUCACAACCAAUUUAUAAAAUUUAUGUCCUCGUGAGCUUAGCUCAGUUGGUAUGGACAAUGCAUAAAAAUAUGCAAGGUGGUUCGGGGUUCAAACUCCGGCCACUACUAAAAAAAAUUAUAAAAUUUAUUUAAAAUUAACUUUAGGCAAAUACAAAACACGCAUUAAGAAGCACUAGAACACAGCCCUGCACCAAAUGUCAAAUAAAAGCUCUACAAGAGAUUGAGCAAUUUUUAUGAUUUUUUUUUUUUUUUGCUCAAAUCUCAAAAUGUUUUGUUAUUAUUGUUGGUAAACUAAGUAAAAGAAUUAGUAGCCGACAGUCAAACAAAUGUGGGAAUCGAUGAUACAUGCAACGGAAAGUGUAUUUGUGGAAUGAAGUUGUAAACUACUCACACCAAAGUGUUUAUGACUUUCUUGAGACCAAAGAAAGAGAAGGCAGAUGCCAUUUGACAUUAAAUUAUGUAUAAAGCAACAAAAAGAGUAAUGACCAAUGUUGAAACAUUUUGUAAUGAAUAAACUUGUUACUAUUGGUAACAAAUUACUGCAAGAAAGCUUUCACAUAACUAUGUUACUUUUGCAUUAUGUAGAAUUUAUUUCUGAAAAAAAAACUUAUAGCGGCUAUGAUCCUUCUAAAGAUAAUCUAAAUUUUUUGAAGUAAAUCAUUAUUUUAGUCUUUAAACGUACGAGGCAACAUCAUUAUAUAUCUUAAAAUAACUAAUGAAAAAUACAUCAAUGGUCGAACUAAAUAACGAAAGAUACAUUUAAGAAUCAUCAAUAAAAAACAUUUUUAAAAAUAUUUUUGUAACUUUGAUACAUUCAAAGAUUACAAUAAUAUCGUUUGACAUGUUAAAAUGAGUGUUUACUCAACAUUUUAGUUACUGGUAGAACAAUUUAUUUUUAAUAAUGAUGAUUAGGAUGUAACUAAAACAAAUCCAUUGAACUAAACUCAAGAUGAAGUUGGUGGUAGUGUUUACCGGCAGGUGGCAGUGUGCUAAUUGAGCUUUAGGAAGCGACAAACAGCAGCAGUUCCCAGGUACGGCGUUCGGCGGAAAAAUAACACCAACAACUAAUUAACCAAUUAAAUAAUUUAAUUAAACUAAACCAAGUCCAAUCCCAUACAAUUACAGUCAUAUACUAAAAUAAAUAAAUAAAAUGAUUUUUUUUUCUGCUUCCACUCUUCCUAACAACUACUCUCACUAGUCAGUCACUAGUACUAAUCAAAGUACAUUUAAUAAUACACUAAUAUUAAAUAUUUUUAAUUACUUAAUUAUUGAAUUUGGGUAUAGUACUCCGGUAAUAAUUAUUGAGUGCUUCGACCUUUUCAUUUUGUUUGUCAUAGGUUUUGUCAAAGACAUUAAUAUUUUGUGAAAAAAAAUACUCCAUCCGUUUUUAAUUAUAAGUUUCUUUGAAAAAAAAUUGUUUUUAAAUAUAAAUCCUUAUACAAAUUACUAUAUUUAUGUAUUAUAUUUUUUCUUAAAUAUACCCCUAAUUAAUAUCACUAGCUUGUCUUAAAAUAUGAAAAAUAAAAUUUAAUACACAUACAAACAAAAUAUACAAUUUAGUAUUCAAACAUAGAAUAAACACAUUAAUUUCAUUAACAAUUUUUCUUAAAAAAAUGUAAAAAAAAAAAAAAGUAAAGAAGACUUAUAUACAGACGGAGAGAGUACUUCCGUAAUAUUUUAUUAUCAUUGAUAUUGUAAAUGGUCAAAAAUAUUUUACUAAAAUGACAAACAAAAAUCAAACGGAGGAAGUAACAAAUAAGUACCACUUUUUUUUUUUUUUAACAAGUAAAAAUGGACUCAGAAUCAUAUUACUGAAACAGAGCAGCCCCAAAGGCAUAAGGUAUAUCCGAGAGACUACUGCAAAAUCCAAGAGUUACAACAGAUACAAAACAGAGCACAACAAAAACAUUAGCCGAUAACCAAGCAAACAAGAGGGUUAAACCACCACUAUUGUGUACCAAAAAUAAAAGUAGUUUUUUUCAGCUUUCAACCAACCUAAAAACAAGUACUACUCUAUUUUAUUUUAUUUAGUGUCCCAUAAAAUAUGAAUUGUUACUAUUAAAUAAAACAGUUGUGUUAUUUAGACACAUAAUUUCUGAAAUUGGUUAAUUAAGUUUUUAAUCCCUAUAAAUAUUUACAGUUUUGUUUUUAGUCCCUAUAAAAUUUUCUAUCAGCAUUUUUAGUCCCUAUAAAAAAAUUUCAUCAACAUUUUUGGUCCCUAAAAUGCUUAAGGAAAAUGUCACAGGUACUAAAAAAUAUGAUUUUAUUUUGUAGGGACUAAAAACAAAACUGUAAAUAUUUAUAAAGACUAAAAACUUAAUUAACCCUAAAUCAUAUUUCAACACCGUAUAUUAUUGAGUGUGGACAUCAAUAUGACACAAACACAUGAAAAGAGUGAGGAAAAAAAACAAACAAAAACUUAGAAUUGAUGUAAAUAAGAUGAAUGUAUUCUUCACAAGGUUAAAUGAAGUGUUUGAGAUACUUUUUUCUAAUAAUAAAAUGAUUUAGUAGUUUCGGGAUGUUACGUGUAGAUAGUUUUGUUGGGAGCUAAAAGACAUUGAAGGAGUUUGAAAGAGAAAGUCCCCUGUUAGAUUGGUAGGAACUAACAUAAUUACUAAUAUUUCCUAAUACUUAUCUAUAAAAAAAUAUUUUGAAAAUAAAUAUAUUUAUGUGUUUAUGCACAAACACUAUUCAUUUCGUCUUAUGAUAAUAGAAGAAUAGCACGAUGAUCGCGAUUAGAUUUGUGUUUGAAAAAGUCUCAAAAGACAUUUUUUAAACAAAAAGAAGUAACAAGCAAACCCCUCCCAUUAGAAAAACCAGUCCCUAAUUGCACCUGCCAUAAAGAAAUGUCUCCCUUGAACCCUACACAUGACCCUUCCAUGUCUCCCCUUUCAUGUUUUUUAUAAGACUCUUUUAUGCCUCUUAUUCCCACUGUCCCACUUCCAUCUCACUCACUCCUCAAAUUUUAGUAUUUAGAACCUUUCACCAUUUCCUAGUGUGUCCGUGUGCCUAGCAACAAUUUUUAUUCACUUUCUUUCACUUCUCACACGCACACAACAUCAAAAACAAAACACAACCUUUCUAAUAUCAAUAUGGCUUCUUCAAAUGGAACUAGCUCUGGAACCGGUUCUCCUUGUGGAGCAUGCAAGUUCCUUAGAAGAAAAUGUGCACCUGAUUGCAUUUUUGCACCUUACUUUUGCUCAGAACAAGGACCUGCAAGAUUUGCAGCUAUUCAUAAAGUGUUUGGUGCUAGCAAUGUUUCUAAGUUGCUCUUGCAUAUACCAGCUCAUGAACGUUGUGAAGCUGUUGUCACAAUUGCUUAUGAGGCUCAAGCUCGUAUCAGAGACCCUGUGUAUGGUUGUGUCUCUCACAUUUUUGCCUUACAACAACAGGUACACAUAUUAUUUAUAUAGUUAAUUACCCAUCACAAGUUAAUUAUAUAAACUUCACAUUAGGCUAUGUUUUUUCUUAAUGAACAAUAGAAGUUCAUUCAAUUUCUAAUAACUAACACUAUACUUACUCAUGUAUAUGGCACUGACACUUCUAAUUAAAGGCGUUGUCAGGUGUUCGACACGUGCAGGCGAACACCUACACAUGUGACUAAUCACAUUCAUUUAUUUUCAGUGAUUCAUAGUUCGUCAUUGAUCAUUUACCAAAGUUUUUUUAGAACUUGCAAUUUUCAUUUUUUUUUAUCUCUCCCCUUUAUUUUUUUAAUAUAUAUUAGAAAUUUGGAAGAUCAUUGAGAUAAUUAAACCACACUACUCCUGUCUUUUUCUUAAGGCUCUUUGAUGCUUCAAGGGCCAGUCAAAGAAUAUUAUUUAUUGUCACUAUGUAUAUUAAAUCUUCGUUAGUCAAUUUAUUAAUAAACAAACAAAUUUUCUAGUUAUCACCUUAAUGAAUUCUAUUGGUACAAUUCUUCUCUAAGUUUUCUUUUUAAUUAUGCAGGUAGCAUGCUUGCAGGCACAAUUGAUGCAAGUGAAAUCUCAGCUGUCACAUAACAUAGAGAAUAAUAAUCAGUGGAUAGGAAACAAUAAUAAUGUUGCUGCCACACAAGCAAUGAAUUAUCCAUUUUGUCCAACUUAUAUGAACCCUAUAUCUCCUCAAAGCUCACUUGAGUCAUCAAUUGAUCAUAGCAGCAGCAUGAAUGAUGGAAUGAUGAGCAUGCAAGAUGUACAAAGUAGCAGAGAAGAUUUCUCAUUCCAAGGUUGUAAUAAUUAUAAGAAAAGAAUGCCACAUAACAAUAAUAAUGAUCAUGACUUGGGUGAAUUGCAAGAAAUAGCAAUUAGGAUGAUGAGGAACUAACUAGUUUGGGAGUUAAGCUAUAGCAUAGUAGCAUUUGAAUUCUUGAAGGACGAUGUUCCCUUAAUUAUGUUGAGGAGUUAUGUUCUUUAUCUAUAGUUGUAUAUAAUUAAUGAGAGUGUCAAGGACGAAACUACGAUGGAACCACGCAUGACUUAGUCACGCGUGUGAACCAUUUGAAUCAAUAUUGAAUAGUUCACAUUCUCACUAUGGUAAAUGAGGUCAAAAAUUCAAAGUUGGAAUAUAAGUUGCUCGAUAAUAAUUUGUCUGGUUGAUUGGUGAUUAUAUGAUUGUGUGAAUAUUUGAAAUUUAAAUCGAAAAUUUAAUGUAGUCAUGCGAUUUAAACCAUUGUAAGAUUGAGUAUCGAACGUUCUCACAUUAAUUAGUAAAUUGUAAAUAAGAGUUGAAAAUUCAAGGUUGGAAUGCAAACUGUUCAAUUUUAUUUCGACUCCUCCAAUUGGUGUAUGUGUAAUUACGUGAAUGCAAUAAUCUAUAUCCUAAGUUUGAUGAGCCUAGCUAAACCAAGCAUUAGGCUUUUCUAUUUGCGGAUUUAAUCCAAAUAUUUUUGCAGUACUUAUAUUACUCAAAUUAGUAAUUGUUGCAAAUAAUGUGGUUUUCAAAAUAUGAGCAACGAUAUAAAUUAUAACAUAGGUGGCUAUUAAACCAAAAUGGUAUAAAGUAAGGCUAUAAAAAUAGGGGUUGUGAUGAAUUAUAAUGCAUUUUUUGCCUGUCAAACUUCAAUAAUGAUUAUGUGUACCUUUGUUUGAAUUAUGAGUUGUCCUUCAUCUUCCCACUUCUCAAAGGGAGAUCUUUUUUCUCUAACAAAACCACACGCUUAAUUUAACUUUGUAAAGGACAAUUACAACUUUUUGUUAUAUAAUUUAUUACAAGACAAGAACAUACUUAUCUCUGCUGUCUUUGUACUACUUUUUGUCAUAAUCUCAUUCAAUAUUAUGAGGUGUUAUGCAUAUAAAUUGAUACCAACAAAUUAUUAUUAAUUUAGACACUGAUCUUCAAUUUAGUAGAAAAAUAGUUCAAAGUAAUCUACACGGUUGGAUAUAUACAAAAUUUAAAAUAUGAGCUGUCUGAUACUUAUUCAAUUCAACUCCACCAGUUUCUUGAUUCAAGUAUUUUGUUUGCACCUAAUCAAUUAGUUGUAUCAUAUAUAGGUUUAAAGAGUCUUUUCUUCCAUGGAUGCUCAAACUAUCUAAACAUAUGUUUGGUUUCAAUAUUGGAGUGGAGGCUCAAAUGUGAUUUAUAUGAUUUAAAGAAAAAUUGAUUUUAGUUGAAGUAGGAAUUUGUAAUUUUUGGUUGCUACAAUUGAUUUUAAAUUUAUUGUUUAAUCCACUUUUACAUAAAUACAUUUAAACAUAAACCACUUUACAAAUUCAAUUAACUUAAAAUUUUCCUAAAAAAAAAAAAACUUUAAUUUAAUUUUUUUUAUUGGAGAACCAGAACAUAAACAAGAUGAAGAUUCACGUACACUGUAGUGUUAUCCUAAUUUUUUCUUCGGUGAUUUUAUUUCAAAUCUUAUGUAUCUUAGAUUGUCGAUAAGAUAUCAGCAUUUGUCUUAUGUAAUACUCACUUGUUCUUGAUAGCAUUUUAGUUUUCGCAAACACCAAAGGCACUUUCUUAUCUCGGUAAGAAAAAUCAUGUUACAUUUUACCAAUAAAUUUUUGUUGGAAUAAAAAGUUGAUAUGAAUUGAGCUUAAAAGAUUCGUUAGAAUGAGAGCACGUCUCAAAACUCGAGAGUUAAACUAACGACUUUAUAGGUAAUCAACUGAGUCAAUCUUGGUAGACUAUAUCAACCAAUAUUUAAUUAAAUAUAACAUUUGUACAUUCUUGGUUAUAUUCUACCGGGUCGUUUUAAUUUUUUCUAACACAACAACAAUAUAUGUUGGUGCAAUAUUAAACUAAAAGAUGAAUAAAAUUUGAACUUUUAAAACUAAUGUAACCACGUAUAUAUGGAUUUAGAUCCUCUCAUAUUCAUUCUCUCAUAUAUCAAUCAAUUGUUGAAUUGUAAAAAGAAAGAUGGUUGAACCAAAAAGAUCGAUGGUAAUCCACAUUCAACUAUAGGAUACUAUCAUUUGUCAAUAAAAAAGAAAGGAACCAAAAAGAUAUGAUUAAUGAUAGCAUUUUAUUCCACAUGUCUUCGAGGGGAAUUUUUUAGUGUUGUAAAAAACUGGAAACGAGGAACUGAAGUCAAAAGUGAAAAAGAUGCCCCAUUUUCAACAUUGUUCAGAUCCAAAUGCAACGUUCCCUUGGGUGCAUUGAUGAAACGUCUUUCUAGGAUUUUAUUUUUGUUUGGCAAGGCAACGACAGGGGCUUAGGAUCCAAUGGACCCCACUAAAUUAAGAAGUAAGAAGUACUCCCUCCAUUUUUAAAUAUAUGUAAAUUUUAUUUUUUAAGUUUAUUUAAUUAAUGAUGUAUGGCCACAUAUAUUAUUAAUUGAAUUAACCUAGAAAGUAAAAUUUAUUUAUAUUUAAAAACGGAUAGAGUAGUUUUAACUAACAUUACUAAUUUAAUCUAUCUAAUUAAUCUAAUUUUAACCUCAAUACAUUGUAAAAAAAAUAAAAAUAAAAAUACAUCAAUGCCCUAAUGAUUUUGUAUUCAUACACAUAGACAAAGUGUCUCCUGGAUUGAAUGCAUAAACUACAAUGUACAAUCACUGUUUUCAUUUAACCCCUGGCUAUUCCAUAAUAACAUCAAACAAAGACUCUAAUAAUCUUAUUAAACAUUGCCCAAUAUUGCUUUGAUUUGUUGAUAGAACCAUUAAAUUAAAUAAAUUAAUUAAUUAAUUAGUGGAAGAUGUUGACACAUCUACGCAUGGUGAUGAUCAAAUAAUAAUCAAACAAACAGAAACACGAUAUUGCUUUGAUUCUGUCUUGCAAAGUGCUACUAUUUUAUGAUCAUAACCGAGUACUCAUUGUACUUUCAAGAUUAACUUAAUACUUUUAACUGUGAAACUAUUUUGAGAUUACAUUGUUGUAUAUUAUUGGUGAAUUCCGUACUAAUUUGAUCGAUAGAACUAAGCGCACGCAUGCAUUAUGAACAUUAUAAACUGUUUAAAUAAUAUAGAAACAUAUAAUUUGGUUUCAUGCAUAUACACAAUAAUAAUAGUUGAUUAUAACUUAAGUACUUAAAUUGUCAAAAAAAAAAAAACUUAAGUACUUAAGGGAGACAAGAGAAGAAGAUACUCAUGUGCCAUGGUAGUGAUAUAUGAAUUAUGGGGACCAUGCUCUAGAACUUGUAGUGAAGCACAAGAGAUUAUUUAGCUGGAAGAGCAAGAGAGGUUAAAAACACAAGAAAAAAUUUGUCAACACUGUUACAAAUUCAUAUUAUGAAGUAUAUCAUGUGUAGACACAGCGAGAAACUUUUAUAUAGACACAGCCACAAAUUAUCAAUAUUUAGAUACACUCAUAUCAAAUGCAAAAAUUAAAUGAUGUUGAUUGAUGUGAUUUAAUUAUUUUUGCUUUAAAUUUUUUCAUUUGAUGUGAUUGUGCCCAAGUAUUUAUCAUUUGUGGUUGUGUUCAUAGAAGAGUUUCUCCCAAAUAGCAAUGAGUUUGUAGGAGUUGCUGUUAAACGUAAUCUUUAUGUAGAAUAUGUAGACACAAUAUUUUACUUAUACUAUAUACUUAUGAGUAUAUGGGUAUGAUUCGAUAAAUUUGUUGUCCAUCAACCAUUUCCAAGCCAUCUUGCUCUUCUAGUCAUGCUAUUUGUUGACACUAAUAUCUACUCGUAUAUAAGAGAAAUGAUCCAUAUAUUUAAUUUCUUUAAGUUUUUGACUUCUUCAAGAAAAUAUUUUAAGAUUUUGAAUGAAGAUAUAAUUUUGAUUGUUUUAUAAAAAAAUUAAAAAAAAUUUUUAAAAAAAGUGUCAAUGUAUGGGUUAUUGGUAUUUUGUUGCUCUCAAUUUUGAGACUCUCCCACAAAUGCUAUCAACUUCAAUUUAGCUUGAAAGGGGAGUGGAAGUUAGAUACUACCUCCCUCCCUAAUUAUAAGACCUUUUUGAGAAUUUUUUUCUAUCCCUUUUUAUAAGACUCUUUUCUAUUUUCAACUACAUUAAUUAUUUCUUUACAUACAUGCCCUUAUUUAUUAUACAUCUUUUUCUUCAAUCAGCAAUAAAUAACAUGUUGAAAACAUAAAUCAACCUUCUCUUAAAGAAUAAAAUUGUAAAAACAAUGAUAAUUACAAACAUAUUUAAUACAAAUGUCCACUAUCUUAAUUCCUGUUAUUUUUUUCAAAAGGAUCCUAUAAUUAGGAACAAAGGUAGUAUGUCGAUUUUAGGUGGGAAAGAGGCUGAGAGUACUCUCCGGUACUCCUCGCCCCUAUCCCCAUUCAACACUUUGAGAAGAUUCGGAGAACCUUGUCAACAUGAAAAAUAAUCACUAGACAAUAUUUAGCCAUAAAACAAAUAAAAAAUUUAAACAUCACAUAAAAGAAAUUUGUACUUACAUUGUGUGAGAAGACAAAUAUAACAUAAAAUACUUAAAUAUAUAAGUAUAAAUGUUAUUUUAGUAAAAUGUUAGAGGACAAGGUUCAUGCAAGGCGGUGUAUGAUGCUAAUCUCUGUCAUUCGCGGUUUCUCAAAUUUGACAACUCCUACGAAAAUCUUUACAUGAAGAUACAAAUUGACAUCCUAAUAGGACCAUAAUAAGAUAUCCAUCAUCUCAAAUCUUUCAUGUCAUAAAACAAUAUAUAUAAAAAGAAAAUAACCUUUUUGACUUUUUUGGGCUGACUUUUUCUCUUUUCCAAAUUACCCUCAACUUUAAACACAAAUAGCACAUAUAAUAAAUAGAUAAGAGUAUCCUCAAAUAUUAAAAAAAAAAGUGUAACAAAUAGAUAAAUAAGGUGGUGCGAUCAUACCAGCACUAAUGCUUCGGAUCCCAUCAGAACUACGCAGCUAAGCGUGCUGGUGCGAUCAUACCAGCACUAAUGCUUCGGAUCCCAUCAGAACUACGCAGCUAAGCGUGCUGGUGCGAUCAUACCAGCACUAAUGCACCAGAUCCGAACCCCACAUCCAAGACCUUUAAUUAGUUUUAAGAUUAAUUAGAGGUUGAUACACUUGUGUAUUGUUUUAAUUUUUUUUAUCACCUGUUUGGGAUCGGCACACACUCUUGUGUGAUUUUACUAGGUUAGGUUUAUGUCCCCCUAAUUUUUAUGUAAUUUUUCUUUAUUUUUUUAAUAAUACUUAUGAGCAUUUGACAAAAGAUUAGAGUAGGGUACCAACUUAAUUGAGAGCCACUCUUUUUUUUAUGUCAUUUUACUCCUGCCUUAAAAGUGAAAAAUAAUGCAUGCUUUUUCUUUCCUUCUCUCUACUGUUAUUGACUAAUAUAAAAAGAAAAAAAAAGAAAAUGUCACAAAAGUUACAAUUAAAUAGUUGUAUAAAUAUAAUUACUCCCUUGCAAAAGUGAUAUACCAGGGCCAAAGCCCUACAGGGCAAGGGAUCAAAAGUCAGGACUUAUAAUUCAAAAUAUUAUUAAAUCAGUUGUUUUUUUUUUACAAACAAAAUUACAGUAGUUUUUUUUACAAGUAUUCAAUUUAAAGUCAUUAUAAAUAAAAUAUAGCAUAAUUCCAUUUCAUUUCACUGUAUGAUAUCAUUUCCAUCAAUUCAAAAGGAGUGUGUUAUGUUCUCCAUAUUUGUAUUUGAAAAUUAACAAAUAAUGCAGAUAUAUUCAAAUUCUAAACUAGUAACUUGAUCCCAGAGAUUAGUCAAGAGACUCCAUUAUAUUAGUUUACUCUAUCGUGUUGAGAUUGGAAAGUGGGUGGGACACACGUGCAAUUCCAAAUGUAUGAUUGAAUUUGGAUGUCACUGACAUUGUUUUUUAGACAAAGGAGUUUGUCUUCACAAGUGAUUGGAAUAAAAAAUUGUCAAAGUAAGGGACAAAAGUAACGAAAGUUUGGCAAGUCAAAUGUAUGUAUGUAUGCAUGGAAAAGAAAUAUUUUGAAUUGAUUGAUUAGGAUGAGACUUGUUAAUUUUAUUUAGAGUCAUGAUAACAAACAUUGUUAUUAAAGUAAUAUAAUUUUGUUUUGAAAAUAUAAAUCAAACGAUUAUUAAAGUAAGUAUAAUUUUUUAUGUAAAAAUUACGUCUUUUAAUUGCUUAAAUAAUGUUUCAAGAGCACUAGUCAACAUUUAUCUUUUAUUUAUUUAUUUAUGUUUGCCGGUGGUUGUUCGCUUUUGUAAUGUGGAUUAUGUUUAUUAAGUUUUGUUAUGAGAUACUAAACUUGGUGGUAAUGCCAGGAAAAAUUGACGGUCGACGCAACGGAAUAUUAUAGAAUCAUUUCAACCAAUUCUAUUUUCAUUAUAACUUCAAUUUCAAUUAAGAUAAAUACACGCACGCUCUCUUCUAUCACCAACACAUAAUUCAUAUUAUCAUAUCAUAUCUCAUGGGCAAGAUCAAUUCCUUCAAACAAGAAUUUUCUUUAGGUUUGUUAUUUUCAUCUCAUCAUAAUUUCUCACAUUUCAAUAUUAUUAUUUCAUUAUUGUUGUUGAUGUAUUUUAAUUGAAUCCAGAUGAACGACGCGAGGAAUCACAAAACAUCAUUGUUAAAUAUCCCGAUCGAGUUCCCGUAUUAUAUUUUUCCUCCAAUUUUUUUACUCAAUCAAUAUUAUUAUUAUCAUCAUUGCUUAUAUUUAUUUAUCUUAUCUUAUUGUUAUUGAAGGUCAUCAUUGAGAAAUAUUCUAGGACAGACCUACCUGAAUUGGACAAGAAGAAGUAUGUUUUCAUUUUAUGUUUCUCUUUUUGCAUUUUUUCUAAGUUGGAUCAGCAGUUCUCUCUCUCUUUUUUUUUUUGUGAUUCUCCAAUUAUGCAUUUCAAAAUAGUCAACAUUGUCAUUAUAAUUUAUAAUGUUUUUAUUUUGGUAAAUGAAAAUUCUGGUUUUUGUGUCAUACUUUAAAAGUCAACCUAUAAAAUUUGUCAAUUUUGUAUGUGUUUGAGAUGGAUACUUGUAGAGAGAAGUCUUGUAGAUUAUGUAGUAUGAGAGUAGAUCAGAUGGAGGGUCAUUAAAUCACUACAGGUGGAGAAAGACUGAUAAAAAAUAUUAAAAGGUAUAAAGAUUAAUAUGAGUUUGAUAAAGAUAUGAUACAUGAUAGAAAGAUCUGAAGAUAAACGAGCUGGAUAAAGAUAUGAUACAUGAUAGAAUAUUAUGGUGUUGUUCAAUUCAUGAAUCCAAGACUUGGUUGUUGUUGAUGUAUGUAUAUGUUGAAAUGCAUCCUUUCCACGCAUAUCUAGUCUUGAGCAUGAUGAGGGUGUUGACCGUUGAAAGUCCGAACCAACUAGAGAUAAAUGUCCUUAAGUAGAGUUUAUACUGAACCUAAAAUCUAAGGAUAUAUAUUAUAAAAUUCUUUUCAGUGAUAGCAAUAUAGGAUUGCCUCUCUUAUGUUUUCUGAUCUUUUUUCAUUUAUUGUAAUUAUAAGAUUGAGCAAAAAUGCAUCAUUGAAUACCAAUUUUGAUUUGAAGGGCCUAAUCUCAUAUUUUGUUUUUUCUCUUUUAGAUAUUUGGUUCCUCGAGACAUGUCUGUUGGGCAGUUUAUUCACAUUUUAAGUAGUAGGCUACGUUUGACUCCCGGAAAAGCUCUGUUUAUUUUUGUGAAAAACACGCUUCCUCAAACUGGUAAAUGCACCUUAUAUUAUCACUAUAAAUCUAUUUGUAGUAGUUAGUAGUUAAGGUUCUGCUUUCUUAGAUGUGGCUCAUCCAAAGUAAGCUACUCAAUUAAGGAGUAAAAUGAAUAAUGCCAAAUGUUGAUGAAUAGAGUCAGAGCAUGUUUAGUAUUAUGGUGCAUUUGCCGGAAUCACAAUGACACCGUGGUUUUAUAGAAGCUUCAAAUUGUAGCAUUUGCAAAAUUACAGUAGCUCAUCGUGAUUCUGUCAAACUCACAACAAAUCCUAAAAUGAGCUAAAUCAAUGGUUUAUAUUAUAUGCAAAUGAUAAUAAAUCAAUAUUAAUCCUUGAUUUUUCUCAUUUUAUUAACUACUCACUUUAGAUGAACCAAAUCUUGUCAUCUUAUGUGGAAGCUAAUACAUGUCUUUUAUGUGUUCUUGUGAUUCCAUCUACAGCUAGUCUUAUGACCUCCAUUUACCAAACUUACAAGGAGGAGGAUGGGUUUCUGUAUAUGUGUUACAGUAGUGAGAAAACAUUUGGAUAACUUGGUUGCAUGACUUGCAUUUGAUGAUUAAUCCCUUCAAGUAUUUGUCAAUUGUGUAUUGUUAUUUGUAAAUAAAUUCAGUACAUGAUGUACUUGUAUGUAUGUAUGACAUAACAACACUGAACCUCCAAUUUAAACAACAAUUUGUUGUACUUUAACUAAGAUGUAUAUUGUAAAGAUUUAGAUCCAUAUUUUUUUCACGUUAAGAGUAGAAGACUUGGGAUGUUAAAGUCCAAUUAGAAUAUAGACAUGUAGAUAAAUGGAAGAUUGUUACACUCAUAGAUUGUAGGAUUGACAAGGUGUAGUUAAUUUGUACUAUUGCUAAUUUCAUUUGAUUCUUUGAUUUAUUUGAGGCUCCAAUGCAACUACAUUCUUUUAUAACAUAUAUGGUGUAUUUGAUUCUUUGUAGUAUAGUGAAAUAUAAUCCUUUACAUUCUUGCUUUUGUUUCCACUUUGGUACAUAACUAACUUCCUGUGAGGUUUAAACACAUUUUUAACAUAUUCAUUCACUAUGAAUUAGAGACCAAAAUUAUAAUUCAUGAAAUUAUUUUUUAUCAGGAACAUAUAUUAUGUAUACCAUUUGUAGCCUCCAGCUUCAAAUUUUCCCGAUUCAUAUCUCUCUAUAGAAUUACUAGUGAGAAGUGAAAAUGAUUGUAUUUUCAUUAUGUAAUGAACUGGCGAAGCUUCUAAUAUAGAUCUAGAAAUACCUGCAAUUUUAUUUUUUAUAAGUAAAUCAUAUAGAAUAACUAAGCAUAGGAAAAAUUCCAGAUUUGUUUGAGUAAGGCAUCUGGUUGCCUUGAGUUAAAUUUUCCUAAGAAAUUAAAUAUCUAUUUUUUCUUGCCAUCUCAAUAACUAUUCCAUCAUUAUCAAUGAUAUUAUGUGCUUAAAUCAGUCAUGUACUUGUAAUAAAAUAAAAAAUCAGUCAUGUACUCAUUACCAAAAAAAAAUUGUGCCCCAAAAAUCCCAUUGGUUUAUUAAUUGUACAUUUCAUGUUGCACAUAAAUGUAAACAAGUAUAUACUAUGAAAACACACGAAAAGUGACUUUUUUAAGGAUGCUACCGAAUAAAGGAGAGAGGAAUAAACCAUCAUCUUUGGUAUCCAUGGCUAGAUGUAUAUGUAGUUAUGUAUGCAAUGAGUUCACAAAUGUAGCCUAUAUUUUUCAGUUAAUUGAUGUAGUUAUUUAUAGGAGUAGAGGUUAUCUUUUCCAUGAAGAAAUUUGUAGUUCAUUCAAGGAAGUAUAGGCUAUAUAUAUUAUUUUGUGUUGAUUAGUUGAUACAUAAUUUUGAUCUGACUUCAAUUGAGUUCAAUUUAUAGAUUAUGAAAUUGAUCUCGAAGUUAAUCAAUAUAUGGAUCAUAUAUCAAGUUUAAAAAAAUAAAAAUUUUGAAAAUAAACUUGGAAUUUAUCUUUAUAAAAAUUUAAAAGAAUACUUAUACGUAGAAUUUAUAGGAAUAAGAACUACAAAUUUUAUUUUUGACAAAUACAAACCAUAUAAACGACAAUAAUAUAGAAUUUUUUUUAAAUAUGAUGUGUAAAUGAAUUACACAUGUGGCAAAUAAAAAAAAAGGUUAAAAUAUGUUUUUAGUCCCUGCAAAUAUAGCGAGUUUGGGUUUUGGUCCCCGGUAAAAAAAAAAAAAAUUGUUUUUCAUCCUCGCAAAAUUUUUUGUUUUUUUUUAAAAAGUCCCUGGGCCCAUUGAAGCAGCCAUAUGUUACUCUGAUACCAAUGUGGCACACGCUGGCUGUCCAUAAGUAGCCAUGUGGCAUCUGAUGUGGCUUUUAUCAAUUAAAAAACAAAUUUUUAAAUUUCAAAAAUCAUUUUCAGUAUUUAAAAAUAAAAAACUUUAUUUUAAUUGAAUUAAAAAAGACUGGUGCUAGUCACACCCUAAAAAAAACAAGUUACACCCCAGAAUGACUAAUAUACCCUUUAACUAAAAUAAAAAUUUCAAAUUAACUUAAAUUGAACAUACGUCAACUUAAUUUACAUUAACGUAAAUUGAACAUAAGUAAACCUAAUUUAUUUACAUUAACCUAGAUUGAACAUAAGUAAACUUAAUUUACAUUAACCUAGAUGUAAGUAAACUUAAUUUACAUUAACCUAAAUUGAACAUAAGUAAACUUAAUUUACAUUAACCUAGAUUGAACGUAAGUAAACUGAAUUUACAAACUUAAUUUACAUUAACCUAGAUUGAACGUAAGUAAUCUUAAUUUACAUUAACCUAGAUUGAACGUAAGUAAACUGAAUUUACACUAACCUCUUAUAUACAUACGUAAACUAAAUUUACAUUAACCUAAAUUGAACAUAAGUAAACUUAAUUUACAUUAACUUAGAUUGAAUGUAAGUAAACUGAAUUUACACUAACCUAAAUUGAACAUACGUAAACUUGAAUUUGCAUUAACCUAUAUACGUAAACUACACCAACCUCUUUUAUAUACAUACACGUAAACUUAAUUUACACUAACCUCUCACUUAAAAUCAAAUUGACAGACAUAUCUCAUGCCAAAACAAAUAAUAAACAAAUAGAAACUCAUCGAAAAUGAAAUUCAUGAAAUUCACUAACCUUUAUGAAUAUAGUACAGAUCAAUAACAAAGAUGUUGAUUCAGAUAUUGGUUGCACAUCUAUGGUGAUUUGUGGAUGAAAGGAGGUAAGGGUUCAGAAUGAUCAUAAAAGAUGGAUUUUUAAAAUUUUAGAGGGCAAUUUUGAUAUUAUUGUAAAAUUUUAAAUAAAUUUGAGUGUAACUUGUUUUUUUUGUGUGACCAGCACCGGUCAUUAAAAAAAGACAUAAAAGAGAAAGGGGGAAAAUCUGAAACUCCCAAAUUGCGUCAUCUCUUCUCAUCUCUCCUAAAUGGGUUUGUUGUUCCUUCGAAGUGUAAUCAGGACAAGUUUUUUGUAGAGGAUAUUGUUGAAUUUGGUUGGCAGUUUAGGUUGGGGUUGGAAGCUGGAUCGAAGCCUGAAUUGCUUUUGGCUUUGAGCUGUUUGUGUAAAGGUAACAGAGAAGCUUUUCUGGUUUGUAAUGGAUUCAAAGACAAUUUGGUUGGGAGGAAGCUUGCUUUGAACGGUGUUAUUGCUCUUGAGCAAGAGGAAGAGCUUGAUAUGGUGGUUGAGAUUAGCAACAAGAUUUAUAUUCGUCUUGAGUCUUGAAUCUUUCUGUUUGUGUAGUUUUUUUUACGAAAUUACGAAAAAAAAGAAAUUGAAUCUAAAGCAAAACAAAAAUGUUGUUGUUGUCCUCCACCUGCUUAUUUAAAAAACAAAAAAAUUUGCAAGAAUGGAAAACAAUUUUUUUUUACCAAAAUUAAAACUAAAACUGGCUAUAUUUGCAGGAACGAAAAACAUAUUUUAAUCUAAAAAAAUGAAAAAUGAAAAAAGAUAUCCAGUGCCACAUCAACAAAUCUGCUGAGUUAUUACAGAGGUAAAACAAAAAGAUUAAAAACUCAUGUUGUCUGGGUUUCCAUUCCAUCGAAGCAAUUAUCGCUACCUUUAAUUUCUCCAUGGACACAACACAAGCUUAGGUGUGUCUAUUUCCAUUGAAAGCAACAAAUGGGCAAAUCCAUCGAUGAGUUUGAAGAAGGGGGAAACCUUGAAUUUCAAUUGUUUAUGUUGAUGCAAUGAUUUUUGGACGAUUCAUUUAAUUUAAAGCUCAUUUGUUAUGACAAUUCGGUGGAAAUAAAAUAAAAUAAAAGAACAGCAAAAUCUUCAAAAUUAAAACCAGAGUGUGACACGUGUCCAAAAGGGUAGUUUAGGAUUUUCCAAAGCAUACUCUUCUCUUCUCUUCUCUUGUAUAGCAGAGCGGUGCCGCUGCAACAUCCGAAUCUCGAUUCUUUCAGCGUUCAAUUCAACCCACAAUUUCUGCGGUUAGUGAUUUAUUUAUUAUCUCUCAAAAUUCUCUUAUUAUUAUAUUGCAUAGCAGUGGAAUCAUGCAUGAUUUAAUCGUUGUAAUGUCAGUUUUGAUUCAUCAAAUUCCGAUGAUCACAGUGAUAGAUCUCAUCUGAAAUUGCUUCGAUUUUCAGAGUGUAAGAUGGAAGGUGAAUUACCAAGCAUAAAGAAAUGGAUCGUGUUAUACCCUGUUUACAUCAAUUCCAAAAAGACUGUUGCUGAAGGAAGAAGAAUCGGAAUCUCCAAAUCAUGCGAAAACCCUACUUGUGUCGAAAUUGGGGAUUGUUGCAAUUUUCUUAAACUUCCAUUCGCAAUCGAGGUUGCUUUCUUACUCACUCACUCUCUUUUUCAUUUUUCAAUUCAUUAUUGGAAAAUGUAUAAUUAUUAUUAUUAUUAUUGUUCAUCACAGCUUGACAAGGCUUACCCUCGUGAUUUCAUGCAAAGAGGACGUGUUAGGGUUUUGCUCAAAAACGAGGAUGGGACUCUCAUUAAUCCAUCCAUAGCUUCCAGUAAGUUUUUUUUUUUAUAUUAAUUUUGUAUACUUUUAUUCAUAUGUUUAUAAAUUUAAUAUAGUUCUUAGCUAUCUGGGCAUUUUGUAUUAUCUGACUUUAAACUAUUAAUUAGUAAAGAUCCUGUGCAAUAGAAUGACCGGAAUACCUCAAUGGCUGGACCUUAUGGUAUUUAGAUAGUUGGCGUAGAUAACAUAAGAUAUGAACAUUGCAUGCAUAAGAGUGAUUCUAUCAUUCCUUGUUUAAGCCAGAGGCCACCCCAUUUCCAUAAAAUAUGUGUUCUAACCAGAACAUUGUUGUGAGGUGCUAUGGUGUUUACUUUGAUAUCUUCUUCCGACCCUGAUGCUGACAUCGGUUGGCGUAUCGAUUGGCACUGAGUCACUAACAACUUAUUUUAAUUUUUUAUAUGACAAAGAGAUACUGGCUUUAAGUUGGGAUGUUUUGUCGACUACAUCAUCAAGUCUAUCUACAUUGAUUAUACUUUCUAUACCAGCACUACUUAUAAUAUUCCACUUUUAUGACUCUGGACUCAACACUAGAUUGGAACUGGUCACUUAUAAGUUCUAAUUGUGGAUGGACUUAGUAGAAUUGGAGAUUAGAAGUUAGACUUUCGUUUCUGUUCGGCCAUUUUAUUUAACAUAAAAGUAGAAGUACAACAAUAUGAGUUAAUGAUUUGGUCACAUAGGUGAAGCUUAAAAGCAUGAUGUGAGAAAUCAAUUGAAAAUAUUCUCUUUUCUUUCUUUCUUAGAAAUGAAAUUGGAUCCCAAGACAAGGAAUGGAAAAGAGCAGCCAUACCUUAUGCAUGUAACAUUAUGCAUCUUGAGCAACAUAGAAGAUACGUAGGAACUACAUAUUUUUGGCAUUUUUUAUUUGUGAUAAUAUCUACAUUGUGAUCCUUUUUAAAUCUAUAUUCGAAAGCGUGCUCCAAUAUUUUGACUGUUUAGGCCAGUGGCACUUUUACAAAUUCAAGUUGAUUAAGGUAAAAGUACCUUGUUUUACCUAAAGUAGCAUGUUCAUAAAGCACAAAUUGAAGAAGUAGGAAACAAUAAUUUGCAUGGAGAUGUUAAUAACAUCAUAACAGAGGGAGAUGAGAAACACUAUGCAAAACUCUUUCAAAGUUUAAUUCACAAUAAAGUGCAAUAUUGCUUGAAAUAGUAUUCUGAGGCAGCAGUGAAUUCUCGUUGGGUGUUUUUCUUCUUAGAGAAGGGUAAAGGUUAAAAAAUGGGAAGUAACAAUCGAAACCUGUCAUCUUGCCAUGUAGGUCAAUUUUGUAACUGUCUUUUAAAAACAACUACAUACUUUAUUCUUAUUGAACGUCAGUGUAAAACUAGUUUGCACUGACGGUUUGUAUUCCUUUUUCUCUAAUAAUUAAUUGUAAGAUCUGAAAUGGCCUUAUCAAACUCUAAAGUGGUUAGUCAGAGAAAUUGUGAGACCAUGAUAAUAUAACAUUGGCUACAAGAUUAUGCUAUUCUUUUUUAUUUUCGAGACAGAUGUUUAAGCCUGCAGAAAUUAUAGGAUUUAGGCAGAGAGAGAGAGAGAGAAGGAAACUGAAAAUAGAGACUAAAUAUUUUCAAAAUGAUAUUUGGUUUGAUGUGAUAAUCCCAUAUUUAUAACAAUAUAUAUUUAGCCCACACCAGAGAGAUCAUCUAUGAUAUUAUAAAUUAUGAUAGCUUAUUUCUUAUGGUCUUUGUCAAUUUCGAGUCGAGAAUCACAACUCUUUUGCAAGGAUCACAUAUUAAAAGGAUUAGAAAAUUAUUUUCUUGUUAUUUUCUUCAAGAUGCAUAGAUUUAAUGAAUGUUGAAUAUACUAGUAUCUCAUUAUCAUUUGUUUUGUUUUUAUGUCUGUGCAGGAAAGCAACUAAUGUUACGUGUUGCAGAGAUGGUCCCUAAACACCAUGGAAGGACCAAGAAGCAGGAGACUGCAUCAACAACAACUGCAACUGCUGGACCUUCCAACAAAUCUGGGAAAGGUGGAAAAAAGAGAAGAUAAUUAUGUGUUUGAAAACUUGUUGAACAUUUUCAUACUGGUGCCUCUCCAAGUAUGGGUUUUGCUAAGAGGAUGUUUAUUACAGUUUCAUACUGGUGCAUAUUAUUCAAUACAGUUGAAAAUAUUAUCCUAACUAAAUUGAAGUUGUACCACUCGGAAAUGGGUUUUGCGCAUAGGAUGUAACAUUUUGCUAAGAAGACUUCUUUUCAUACAAUAUAUAGUCUUUGUUUUUCUGUUUUUUUUUCUUCCAAAGUUGCAAGAAGAAACACAUCACGUUUGGAAGGAAAAUGACAUGUACUAAUGAUGACAUAUAAGUCUUUGUUGCCCAAGCCAAGCAAUUUAGGUUGCCCUUAACAGUAGGGACAACCAAGGUUUUGCUACUACAAGACUAGUACUUCAGCCAAAAUCGAGUUGAUAUAAUAUCCCACCACACAAGAUUUAAUUCUAGCUCAUACCGAGCUUGGCUUAGAGAAAAUAUUAACUUCUCAAUCUGAUCCUUAAUUUCCUUACUGUCAGAAGUUGAUUCCUGCAACAGUCUGAAGUCAAAAAGUAAACCCUCUAAUAACUCUUGUUUCCUCUCUUAACUCCUUUUUAUGAGCCAUGUUUUCAUAAAAUACACUGGGAAGGUCUGGUUCCUCUUGCACAUUUUGGAUUAAGAGAUGAUGGUAAUCUAUUGUACCUGUACCUUCAUUAACCAUACUAGGAACAGGUUCUGCAAUACUUGAGCAAGUUUUUGGCAAAUUAUGCAAUUCCCUUUGCCUGGCUGAUUGCAAGUCAUGGUCUACACUAUAAUUAGCAAAUUGACUGACAAGCUCUGUUAAACAGCAACUGUACAAAGCAAAAGAUUCAAAACCUACAUCCACGGUCUGAGAGCAAAUAUCUUCUACUGAUGACCUGAAGCUGUUCAUAAAGUGUAGUAUCUCCUCCCACAUCAGAAAAACAUCAUAGUAUAUUACCUUGAAUUUCUUUUCCACAUCGGUUUUCAUUUGUAAAAAACACUCUUCUAGCGUGGAAAUUGUAUUUGUCAUCUCUAUCAAGCUGAAAUUGAUGUGGUUCAGUAAUUGAUUCUCUUCCUCUGUAUGGUGUAGUGAAUAUUUAAACUUUUGAAUCUGCCAUGCUUUCUCUCUCGAUUGUCAAGUUUUCACCAGUCUGCUUCCACAGAGCAGUUAAUUGUUUUGAAUCUUCAAAUGCCUUUGUCAAAGCAUGUAGUGUAAUAUCUGCUUCCUUCACUGCUGCAUGAGCUUCCAUAAACUUGGUUAAGAAGCCCUCGUCAGGCUUAAUAUCCCUAUAGUCAAACACCUGAAUUACAUACAUAGAACUAAAGAACAUAAGAGACAUGAUCAUGUUCCUGUCCGGUAAAAACCGUGAUGAUUGUACAUACCUCUGCGUCGCUCUCAUAGCCAGCUUCAUCUUUCUGCAUCCUCAACCAUGAAGACGGAGCCACCUUUUCCAGUUCUGUCAUUUAUCAUACAUGAUUUAGAAUUUAGAAUUAAAUUUCAGAUGACUAAGUACAGAUGGAUGUGGCAUAUCAAAAAAUGUUAUUUAUGGAAACAUGGAAUAGUAGUAACAAAACGAUACCUUUCGGGUAAGAACAUGAUGAUCCACCAUCCAGAUUUGUGAGAAGUGAAGACAAACAAUUAUAGAGUCUUUGGAAACCAUCAUACGUGUCAUUUAAUUCUCUCCUCAGACAGGACCUUGCCGCUUGGUUGUAGAUUGGCCUUCUCAUGAACUCUGCUGAAUGUGAUGAACUGGACGCAUCUCGUUUGAUUGAGAAUUAUAACGCCUCUUUCAGAAUUUAGAUGCAUCUGUUUUUCAGUUAUUUCUCCGGUUGCGAGUCCAAGUGACUUGCUACCAGAAGCAACACUCUCAGGUUCAGUUGAUAAAUCAGAGACUGAAGAACUAUCAGUGCUCAAUUCAUCAGCAUCUAUGAAAUCUUGACACGUCUACGUCUUUGCUAAUACAACUCUCUAUGAUGUUCAAUCUUUUAUUCAUUACAACAAGCUGCUCGUUGGUUUGCAAACACUUGGCAGUUGUCUGCAUUUGAUGUCAAGGAGUCAACUUUAUAACCGUCAGAACUAAUAUGAUGCAUCUUUAAAUCCCCUAUUUCUUUCCUCAUUUCCUUUGUUUCUUUGACUAUGUCUUGAAUCAAAUCCCUAUAAGCUGAAAAAAGACCCAGGGCACCAGUUUGGAAACCUGCUGUCUGCAUUUCUGUAUCUACAAAACUGGUUUUUACAGCAUUCUCCAUCUCCAACACUUCUAGUUUUGUUACCUCAACUUGACCCAUAAGAUCAUUUAGUAUUGAAUUAUAUCCAACAUCUAGAUUCUCAGAAGUAGUACAACUUGCCAAUCUGCCUUGCAUGUCUAGAUUAGGGAUGGAAAUGUCUUCAGCAUCAUUAUUCAUUUUGCUACAAGGAAUGCAGCGUCGGCUUGUGUAACUGUUUUACAAAGUUGAUUGUUUUUAUAUUUUAUUUCAUUUUCCAGGGUCCUUAUUAUAUUGGCCUUCUCAUUUAGCAGAACUCUUAAUUGAAAUGCCUCUUCAAUGCCAUUUUCUUUGUCUAAAUGUUCAAAUGCACUUAAGGUUAAAGUUUCUUCCAUUAGGGUGUGUUUGGAUUGAGGGUUUAGGAAGGAAAGAGACAUGAAGUAGACUAUAAUUGAAUAUAACAAAGUUUAGAAAUAAAAUAUAAGUGGUAGUCAAAAAGACUCAUCAACAAGCAAACAAAGGAAAUAGACACAACAAAAAUUCGAUUUUACGACACUUUAAAUUUUUAGUUGCAUCUACUUCAAAAAUUGGUCUAUUUAGAGGAUUAAAAAUAUAUAUUUUUAAUUGCAUUUAUCAUCUCUUGAACUAUCGGCAUCUUUGAUGAGAAAUCGACCACACAACAGAAUGCCAAAUCAAAAGAAGGUUCUUACACAAUUUUUCACUUUUCCCAAAAAACAAAAUCCUUUCAAUAACACAAAUAAGUCUUUAGGCAUCACCAUGAUUAUUGUGAGCCAUUGAAAGAUUUUGUUCAAUACGGCCAAUGUGAACAAAUGAUCCUCCACAUCUUUCUUCCCCAAACACAACAUACGUAGCGAUUCGAGCCCCCCUUGCAAGAGAACACAGUAACUUACGAAGGAGGCAAAUUUUCCUAACAACACUCCUUUAUUCGCCUUCGCCAAACUAACCAGACAAUACCGGUAUGGUGAAUUGGUUUGAGUUAAUUGUUAAAACACUGAAGCUUACAUUAUUUUUUAUUAAUAUGAUAAAAGAGAAAAUAUAGUAGCAUGACAACUAACUAAUUAAUAUACUAAUAUUUGCCUAUGCAAAAAAAGAAAAACCUUGAUAGAGAAAGGAGUAGAGAUGGUAAGGUGAUAGAUGUGAUAUGUUAGUGGUGUAAUGGAGAGAGAGAGAUAAAGAGAAAAUGAGUUCUUGGAUGAGUGUAUGAAAAUUAAAGGUGUACAUAUAUUGUUGAUUAAUCAAUUGUAGUGUUUGGCAAAUGUAUAUUUGCAAAUGGAUCCUCUCGUAUGAUUUUCAAAUGAGAGAGUAAACAAAUCAUUUAUAAGGAGUGUCAAACACUACCUUUAAAGUAUGAUUGUGGUCGUCGUCGUUGUUGUGAUAUGCAUUUGUGACGUAAAAUAAUUUUAAAUUUUCACAAAUUAUAUGAUACACCGUGCCAACUUACUAUUUACCAUAGUAGAGUAUCAGUUUGCUCCGUCAAUACUAACUGGAAGAGGUGCUUGAAAUAAACAAUUGAGAAACUAUUAAAGGUAAGUUUUUUCAUUAGAUCUAAAGCAGGUUGAAAUUUGAGGUUAUGGAAUUUUAAUUUUUAACUAUUGGUGAGAAGAUUUGAACAAACAUUACCAAAAUCGUGUGAUGCAGUUCCGAUGCGACCAUACACGUGAUUGAAGAUCACAAUGCUAUUGUGGUGCAAUGUCAUUGUGGAGUCUAACACAACAACAAUAUUGUGACCGCAAUUACGGAUGCAAACCGUAAUUUGAAAUCAUUGAUAUAUGAAGUUUGAAUGUUACUAAGAACUCACACAUCAUUCUUUCACAUGAAAAUCACACUUAGAGAAUCCAUUGAAAUAUAUUUUAUAGUUGCAUUAGUUAUGAAUACCUAAACAACAUGUGUUCCUUUGCCAUCAUAUCCAGGCAUCUUCCCAAAAUAAGAGUAAUAUUACCUUUAGUCCAUAUGGGUUUCUGAAAUUAAUAUAUCACCUACUUUGGGAUUACCAUCUCCUAGCUAUAGUCUAUUCCCAAUAUUUGUAACAGCAAAUUAACCUAUUUAAUUUGAGAAACCAAAGCAAAUGUCAGAAAAAAGGACAUAUCCAGGUGUGGAUCUAUUAGGUCAAAAUUUAGGAUAUUUUCUAGGUCUAUAUAUAAACAAACCCCAAAAUUUGUCAUACAAAACCAUUGUUUUAUCUCCAAGCUAGAGUUACACUUUAUUAUUCUAAUAAAUGCCAAUAUAUAUUACACUAGAAUCAGAUUAAACAAACACUAGCUAAUUGGGUAGAUUUUCAUUCCAAUUAUAUGUACGAACACAUCUAGGCUUUCUAAGCUUAUUUAUAAAAUUAUACUAACAGAGAUAUAUAUAUAUAUAUAUAUAUAUAUAUAUAUAUAUAGCAACAGAUUAAAAUUGAUAAAGUCUUCUUCACCAAUUCUUUCACAUAGACUGAUCUGAUCUUUCAUAGAGCUUACUCAAUUGUAAGUUACCAAAUUAGCCACUUACUGAUAGGUCCACUGUCUUUGCAUGUUGUCAAAGGACAUUGAAUUAUUACAUCGCUCAUCAAAGUUAGAAAAUGAUGGGAUGCUUUCUUUCAAUAUGGUUCCUGAAUUUUCAUAGUUUCCGAUAGGGUUUAGAUCCAUGAGAGUAGUGGUAGUCCCAUUAUAAUAUUGUGUUGUUGAUGAGAGAUCAUCAGUAGAAGAAGAGAAAUCGGGAAGAAAUUGAGAACACAUGUUGGAAUUUUCCAUCUGGAACCAACUUUGAAGAUCUUGAGGGAGAAUAUUAGUAGGUUUUCCAAAGUUCUUCUCAUUAGGGUUUUCAGAAUUUGGGGCAUUGAGACACCUUUGAGCUGCUUGCUCUCUCAGAAAAGCUAGCUGUGCUUGUAAAUUGACCACCUACAAAGAUCAGGAAGAAGAAAAUGCAUUUAUUAGUUAAUUCACCACCUGCAUAGAUCAACACAAUGCUUAUGUAUUUUUUCUCUUUUAAUAGCCAAAAUUUUAUUAGAAACUCAAACCAGUGCAUUAAUAAUACACCAACUAUAUUAACUGCGCGAAUUUGACAGAAUAACAGUUUGCCACGUCUUGGUUUCGGCAAAAACUACUACACUUUGAAUCUUAAACAAAACCUCGAUGCCAUCGUGAUUUUGUCAAAUAUAUUUAUAUAGUCCAAAUAUGUGCCAAAGUCUUACAGAUCACUAUUGUUAAUUAAUUAAUUUAAAUUCUUCUUUGCAAUUAUGAAGAGAAAAAAAAUGUAAACGUAUACCAUCUAGGGUUUUCAGUUUAAGAUCACGAGAGAUGAACAAACCUGUUGCUGGAGUGCAAAAAUAUGGGCAACACAUCCAUAAAUUGGAUCUUGAAGUCUAGCUUGAGCUUCAUAAGAGAUUGUGACUGCAGCUUCACAACGAUCGGUCACAGGGAGGUGUGCAAGAAGCUUUGAAACAUUACUUGCACCAAAGACCUUAUGAAUAGCUGCAAAAUGGGUAGCACCUUGUUCAUGGCAAAAGUAAGGUGCAAAAAUACAACCUCUAACACAUUUUCUCCUCAAGAAUUUGCAGGCUCCACAAGGAGAACCAGAACCAGUCAUCAUGGCCGUAAGAAUUUUUGGUUGUUUCUGGCUCUCUUGUGCUAAUCAUAAUCAUUUAUCACCAUCUUUAUAGACAAAAAAAGAAUUAAACAAGAGGAAAGGGAAGAUUAUUAGAACGAUGAAUAUUUAAUUUCAUAAGGUUCCCUUAAUGGCCUACAUGUUAAUUAUUUUAUUUCAUAUAAAACUAUAUCACCAAAAUUUUAUUUGUUAGAAAAUGAGAUUCUUAUUUAAAAACAUCCUUAUGUGACAAAAUUAAGAGAUAGCAUUAACCAAACCCAUUUUGUUUGAUGAUUGGAUCUAGCUAUUGGCUCUUGUCUUUUCUGUUUCUCAAGAAUUAUGUAUAUAGGGUACCUCAUAUAUGAUAGCCGCAACGUUUUCAAUUACUACUUUUUUAUUUAUUCUUUAUAUAGAUACACUUGACCAGGAGAAAUUAAUAUGGCAAUGGAAUAAAUAAGCAAGUAGGUUAAAUAAUAAUAACUGUAUACCAAGCACCUCUAAAAAAAAUUGUAUACCAGGUAAGAAUUCUUUUUAAAGCAAAAAUUAUUGUUACUAUUAAAAGAUAGCUCAACGGUACUCCAACUCAUUAUAUUGCAUAGAAGUAAGAAAGACUUUGCAUUCAAGAGUGUGCGAGUCAUUUAUUUGUCACUUGCACGUGACUUUGAUAUAAUUUAUCUAUGUCUUGUGUAAAUUUGGUAUCCUCUUGCGCGCGCAACUGCAGAGACUAAUUUCACAAGGCUUUUGAAAUCUAAAUAGAGAGCAAACUCUACAAAAAAAUAACGUUGUUGUAUACCUAAAGUUAGAUUCAAACCAGGAAUCAUUUAUUUCUUUUAACUUGGUUUAUUGACCCGCUAUGUGGAUUAUUAAUCAAGUGGCUAUGGAAAUUAAUUAGGAUAAAUUAGGAAAGUAAGUUCGAGUUAGUUAAGGCACCAAUUGGUGCCAUAGCUGUGUUUAUCACGUGUUUGUGAGUGUGUAGGAAUUCCCAAAACAAAGAGUUGUUGCACAUGUUGCCUAAUGCUAAGAAGGAAGAGGUUAAUUUUGUGGUGAAAUGUUGACUUAAAAAGAGGGGUGGUUUACUCUAAUUAUAAAUAGACUUUUUUUUACCUCAUUGUUUGAUAGCACUAAAAGAGAGAAUUUUUAGGGAAACUUAAGAUCUAAGUGUUGAGAUAUUUUAAGUGAGAAAUCAGGGUUAUGAAACACAUUUUAAACAAAGACUUCAUUUGAGGAAGGAUUCAAAAGUUUUCUCUCUUGUCUUUUUGAGGAUUGAGAGAAAGGAACAUAAAGGGGUAGAAAUUAAGAUUUAGUGAUAAAGCUAAUUUCUUGCAACUUUUUUGCUUCUCUUGUGACUCAUUCAUAUAUAGUGGAUUAAGGAGAUGCUCUCUCCUUUAGACGUAACUCAAUUUAGACUGAACUAAAUAUUCAAUCUAGAUGUAUUUGUUCAUCUACUCUCUUUAUUUUUGUUCUUUGUUUUGAUUAUCGAUUUGCUAUACAUUUUGGGUGCUAGAUUUGUUCUUGGUUAAAUAUUGUUACUUGAAUGUUUUAUUUUUAGUUAUCAUUGUUAUUUACUUCACAUAUUGUCUUGUUGGGUUUGCACAAGGAUUCGAAUUAACAACAUUUUUUUAAAAGGCUAAAAAAAAUUCUUUUAGCAGUUAUGCACCAACAUUUUUUUACUAUUAGGUCAAAUUUAUUUAACUUUUUUAGCAAUGCUCUACACUUCAUGGGGUCUAAUAUUCACAUUUAAUCAAAUUUGUUUAGAUUUAAAAAAAAAAAAAAACAAAUAUUCAUUCAAACUUAACCAAACCACAAAUUAUUCUAAUUGGAGGGAAAAAAAUUAUAAAAAAAUUCUUUUUUUAUUUCAAAGCCAAUCUAAACCGUAUCAUGGAUAUCCAUAGAGUACUACUUAGACUCAUCAAAUUCAAGAGAUAUACCAUACUUUUUUGUGUGUUAAUUCUCUGAUUCUCAAAAGAGGAAGCUUAAUUAGUAAUUCGAAGUUCGGUCGAAAGUUAUAAUGCCUAUAUUUGUAUCCAAUCAUUAUAUAUGUAUUAGAGGACCUUAGAUAAUGAUUAGAUGGUUGAAUACAAGUUUAAACAAACAGUUAAUAUGGCAGAAACGGUAAAAAGGUCAAUAAUCUAGGGAUAAUAUUUCAUGUACACCUUUUUUUCCAUACAUACAUUAUACCACCCCAUGUGAGAGUGUGUGAGAGACAAUAAAUGUGAGUUUUUUUGUGUGUGGGGAUCACAUGGACACAUGUCAUAAUUAUGUAUGGGUGUUCAAGUGGUACAUGCCACCUAAGGUGGUCUAUGUAUCAUUACUCAUAAUCUAGAGACACACUUUCCUCUUUGAGGGACUCUAGAGGUAGUGGGGACUUGUGUUUUCAAUGAACAGACACCAAUUAUUUUUGUUAAUAUGAAUGAUUAUAAAUUAAAUAUGAUAAACUAUUGAUCAGUCCUAUUGGAUUCUUAUUAAGGGAAUAAUAAUUGUCCUUUAAGUACAGGUAAUCAAAAUGUAAAGCAAGCACACAAAAGACACAGAAAAAAAAAAAAAAAAAAAGCAGAUUAUUCAAAAAAAUGAAUGAAACAAACGAUGGUGACAGUAGUUUAGGUUAUACAGAAGCUAAUUAAGACAUGGUGGGGCGAGGAUAUAUGUUUUAUUUCCAGAUUUGAAAUUGUUUAAGCCUUGCUGGUCAUUGUUUGUCGAGCAAUACCAUAUGUAUUUAGUUAUCAUUAUCAAAAAAAUAUUAUACAUGUACUCUUUAAAAAAAUUCAGUCACAUAUUUGUGUCGAGUAUAAGUACGAACAUGUAGACCCUCUCAAAUGUGAAUUGGCCAAUUUUCAAUACUAGCUUAUAAUGACAUUCUAACAAAAGUUCACAAAAUAAAAUUAAUGGAUGUAUAUAUCUUAUUGAGAAACAUAUAUACGAUUCAAUAUAAUUGAGAGAAAAUUAAAAUGAGAAAUUUAGAUAUUUGGCAUAUGGUGCUGGUUUGGAAGAAUGAUAUAGUUGGAGCCUGUAUGAAAUUUAAUAUAUAUGUAGAGUAGUAUCUUAUAAUUUCCCUAACUAAUCAAUUAAAUUAUAUGAAUAUGAGAACUUUUUAUUAAAUCUUAAUGGCAACAUUAGUUAACAAUUUCUGGUUUAUGUAACAUAUUUUGUCAUUUUCAGUAUCUGAUUUAUGUAACAUAUAUGAUAUUUUCCUCAAAUUAAGAGGAAAGGUUGUGUCCUUCGUAUGCUUGUUUGUUUGCCACUUACGCAUGAAGAGUUCUGGUUGGCAACAGGACGUACGCAUGUGUAUACACCAAAAAGUAUAUCCUUUUUUUUUUUUUUUUUUUGUUAAAAUAUAAUUAUCCCCAUUACCAUUAGACAUUUAUCAACGUGGGGUUCAACAAAUUAUAUUUUUCAAGAGAAGAUAACGUUGGCAUAUACAAUUUCCUAAACAUUUGACAUUUGUCUCAAGUUUUAAAUAAAAUUAUAAGGACCAUUUGAUAUUGUCUAGCUAGAACUAGAAGCUUUCCAAUGUUGUAUUAUUUCUUCACUAAUUAGUGUAUUAUAUAUGCCUUAGCCUUUCUUAUAUGAUGAUGAUCUUGCGAAGCAUAUCUUUAUCAUGACAUUAUGCUUUGCUAUGGAUUUUAUGGUCUUCCCAUUCGAAGACACAUGAAUUCAAAAUAAUUUCCAUAACAUAACACUUUCCAAGUGACUUUUUUUGUUUCUUCUUCUUCUCCAAGUUCACAUGACCCAAAGUGGAUCAUCACAAAGCUAUUCAUUUGAAUAUUAAGUAUUUCACUCAAACUUGUUCAUGUUGUAUUAAGUGUGUAUAAUUAAUUAGUUAUGUCAUAUGGAGAUAAACAACAUCCGUAAACAAAGGAGGAAAAAAACAGGCCAGGAGAUUGAUAAAAUAAUGGCUUAAAUAUUAAAAAGGUCCCUGUAAGUUAGCGCGUUUUUGGUUUUAGUCCCUGUAUCUUUUUUGUUGCGAAAUAACCCUUGUAUUUUCUUAACUUUUUUAAAUUGAUCCUCACCGUCAGUUUCCGUAAAAAAAAAAAAAAAAAAAGCAUUGUUGGCUAACGGUCGCGUACGUGGCACUUGAUGAGAUUGCAACUGCUCUUAGUAGAGGGACUAAAACGAAAAACACAUUUUUACAUAGGGACUAAAAUUAAAAAAACGUAAUCAUCAAAUUUUUGAAAUUUUAAAUCCAAUCUUUCCACCUUCCUCUCUUUGUUUUUUUCUCUCUUCUUCAUUUCUUCCAUGCCCAGCCUCCCAUAGCUUGCGCCCUAACAGCAAAAACUCAUUUUCUUAUACCAAAUGGCAUCUCAUUCAAUUUGUCAGGGUGUUGUUUGCUUGAGUAGCAGCUUGAACUUGAGUAUAUCAUGAACUUGGGAUGAAUAUUUUUGAGCAAAAUAUUCAUCUUCAUCAUCGUAUCUAUGUAUUGCUUUAACUAUACUAGCCCAAACGAAAGCACAAGUUACGACAAAUUUAGAUAGAAAUUGUUGCGCGUUGAUUUCCUUAUCGUUGCCAUUUUUCUUCCAUUGAUUCAGUGCAUAUUUUUUCAUCCCCUCAAUUUCUUCUUUUUCAAAAACAAUAAUUGUUUUAACAAAAUCUUCAUGUUCUUUGGUGAUUUGAGUUUCAGCAAUGAGUCUAGGCUUCCAUGAUUUUCUCAUUGUAAAAUGGUCACUGAAGAAAACAUUCUCAAGUCCUUUUGGUCCCUCAAAACUUCUCUGUCAAAACAAGGUAGUGACUUCAAUUCAACUACAUUUCCUCCUUGAUGGAUAAAAGACCAAGAUUUCAUGAAAUGAUUGCAACUAUUAUCAUCCAUCAUGUGUCAAUAUGUGAUGCCAAUGCAAAUACCAUGGUCAGGAAAAACUGUGACUUGCAAAGCUAACAAUGGAAGGAUGAAUGUGUCAUUUUCAAUGUUAUCAUCAAACUUGUUUUUGUGUGUUAAUUUUGGAACAAGGUGAUUAGUUUAUUUGAGAUUUUUUAGGUGUUGUUUGGUGUAGAGAAUAAACGGUUUUUGUCAGGAUGGUAUAGAAAUGAGAUUUCCGGCAAGAGGGAAGAAAUGUUGAAGAGUAAGAGAAAGAGAUUUUUUUGAGAGAUGGAAGUGUUGUUUUGCAAAAAUGGUUGGUUGAAUAAGCAAAAGGGUCGAAGAAUAUGCAUUUAACGUAGACUGGACCAACAAAAUGCAAGGCAAAAAAUGUUAGAGGAAGAUAAGUUGUUGUUGUUUUUGUUGUUGCUCAAAAAACAAGAGCUUGCUCAAUAAGGAAAUGGGUUUUUGAUGAGCUUUGAGAGGGUGGACAUGGAAGGAAUGAAGAAGAGAGAUAGAACUGAGCAAGGAAGAAGGUGGAAAGAAUGAAUUUUAAAUUCCAAAAUUUGAUGAUUAUGUUUUUUUAAUUUCGUCCCUAUGUAAAAAUGUGUUUUUGGUUUUAGUCCCUCUACUAAGACCAGUUGCCAAUUCAUCAUGUGCCACGUAUGCGUCUGUUAGCCAACAAUGCAUUUUUUUGACGGAAAUAGACGGUAGGGACCAAUUUCAAAAGGUUAAGUAAAUACAAGGGUUGUUUCGCAACAAAAAAAGAUACAGGGACUAAAACCAAAAACGCGCUAACUUACAGGGACCUUUUACUUAUUUAAGCCUAAAAUAAAUUGCUUCAUAUUUGUUGCACCAAAGUGUUUUUUUUUUGUGAACAAUUUUUAUUUUUUAAGUAAUUUAGUAGUUAGAAAUUUUCUUCUAAAAUAAAUAAGUAAAGAAUCCGAAUUUUAAACUACAACUUUAACGUAUUACAAUGUUUUUAUCAAUCGAGUUAUGUUCAUGAGUAUUUAAUUAUUUAUUUUUAUAAAGCAACAAAAUAAAAAUAAAAAUGUACUCUAGCUUGUAUUCAUUGCACCAAAGUUAAUUAUCAUUCACUCAUCUAGCAUUCAUUAAUGAAGUGAUUUAAUUAAUGUCCCACACUCUGCUUCUGCGUGCACAAUUUUGUCUGUAUCGGCUGGCAAAAGACAGAAUAAUGAAGAGUGUUUUUUGAGAGAAAAAAUAAUGAAGAGUUAAAUAUAUCAAUUUUUGGUCUCUCUAAAUUUUUUAUUACAAAUUUUAGCCUUUGCUUUUUAACAAAUAUUUAUGUUGCAUGUUUCAAAUGACUUUUUUUUGAAGAUAUAUUAUUAAGACCUUAAAAUUUUAUUAGUUUAAUAAAUUAACUAUUUGAUCUCUAAGUAAAUAAUUUAAUCGUUAAUUUGAAGUUAUAGAUAAAUUAAUAAAGGUUAAAUAGUUAACCUCUCAAAAAUUAUUAAAUAGUUACAUGAUUAAUAUAGUGAAAUUUUAAUGUUUUAUCAAUGUAAUGUUAUAAAAAAAAUGUUUUUAUCAAUUCCGAGUGAAUUAUGACAAUAUUCAAUAUGUUAUCCUUAAAAAAAAGACAAUAUUCAAUAUGUUAUAAAAAUGAAGUUUUCAUUAUUGGAUUUUUCUAACCUAUGCAAUGUUGCACAGGAUAAGAAGCAAUUAAUGCACUUUUUUUCUCUCUCUUUUAUUAACUUUUCUAACCCAUUUAUAUGUCUUAUUAAUUAGCUUUAUGAAUUUUCACCAUCACAGUCCCAUCGUUACAAUUCACUGUAAUGAGUGCAAACAAGGGAAAGGUCAUGUGGCUAGGAAAUCAAAAUUAGGAGAAUUUUGGAGUCCAUUAGAUUAAACAGAAUUCAGGGAAUAGAACAAUUGGUGUCGGAGUCGUGGAAUGUUAUGUCAUUACUCAUUUAGUAGCGGUGGGUUUAGAACAUGGAUGUCAUCAAACUUGAGUUGUCUUUUAUGUUUGAAGUGUAGCUCUUGUUUCAGGAAUUUGUGUUAUGUUCUUUCCCUUUGAGACCAUGGGCCAAGAACUGCAAACGUUCACUUCUCUAAUUCUGUCUCCGGCAAAAAAAACGGCCACAAAGGAUUGAACCACCACUAACAACAAGAUUUAUUCUAAUGGAAGUUUUAUUUUCAAUUGGACAAAGGAUCUUUUCAAUUACAAACAUUCAUCUUCUUCGUAUAUUUCAACACUGUUUUUUUUUGUUGAAGAAAAUAAACCUGUAUAUGGCAUCCAGUUUCAAGAAAUGAGCUCAUUAAUAUGAUAUAGAAAAGGCCAUCAAGGUUAAUAAGAGAGAGAAAAGAAAUGCAUUAAUUGCUUCUUAUCUACACAGGUUAGAAAAACCCUUCAUUAUUUAUAACAUGUGCAACAUUUCAUUUUUUUUUUAAGGAAACAUUUCAUACUAUGUUAAAACAACUAAUAAUAGUAACUUUUUUUUGAAAAACAACAAUUAUUUAUUCAAAAGUUUUAUAGUAUGUUAUAUUAUAUGUGCAAAUUCCAAUACAAAAUUUUUAUUUUUAUUUUUUAACAUGUGCAAAUUUACACAUAAUAGAAAAACUCAGAAAAACUCUGUAUAAUUUUGUUGGAGGAAAUUGUGGGACACAUAAUGUGAAUUGCAUCUUCCAAUCAGAUUUUCUUCAUAUGUAAGAGUAGUCGAAGAUUGGACUCUUAUCCAUUUAUUUAAGAAGAUUUAUUCCUUGACCGUCUAGAGAAGUCUAUUGUUGGUUAUUAUCCACUAUAUUUUCUCCACAUAUGUACAAUCUUGCACGAGGGUUUAAAAAAAAGUACAAUCUUGCACGAGAUAUUUACUGGUUCGUCGAUCAAUAAUUCUCCACCAUAACCAUCACAUUUGUUUUAAGAUGAUAAAAUCAUACAAAGUGAAGUGCAUGUUCUGAAAGAUUGUACGAACUUUUGCAUAUUUUGAGUGCAUAUGGAAAUCUCGAAUCUGUUUUAGCUCUUUUCUCUUCUGGCAGUAGCUUCAAAGGAAGAACAUGGUACACUUUACAGGGAAAAUUUACGUAACAAAACUUUUUUUUUCCCACAUGAAAAAACCUCUUUUCGCACACGAGUGGCACUAUUCUUUACUAUUUUGUUUUCUAGCCCGUGACAAUUAUAUAGUUUUUUUUUUGUUGUUGAAAGAAACAAUUAUAAUGUUGUUUCCUGCCAAAGAAUCAAUCUAAUGCUGGCUGCAUAUGGUUAUUAUCAUAAAUUAAAACAAAUAAAAAAUGACAAAAUUACGAAAGCAGAGUAAUUGCAAAACGAUAAAAUAAGGGUCAAGUUCAAAUUCUUCAACAUUCAAUACAAACCUAACUAACGGAGCUGACAAGAUUUAUAAAUUACUAGAAUAAAAAAGUAGCAUCCAAUUACAGUUCUCUUCUUCCUAAUAAAACAAUUUCAAUUUCCUAAGGAAAUUAGAUUGGGGAAUUAGUCAUUUAGUCCCUGAAUGGGAAAGAAGUAGUCACUUUAGUUCGUGAAUGUAGAGAAAUUGCAAAACAGUCCUGGAUGUAGACUCUGUUGAUCAAUUUUUGGGACUAAAGUGACUAACAGAGUCUGCAUUCAGGGACUAAAUUGACUAACAGAGUCUGCAUUCGAGGACUAAAUUGAUUAACAAAGUCUACAUUCAGGGACUAUUUUGCAAUUUAUCUGCAUUCAGGGACUAAAGUGAUGACUCAUUUCCUAUUCAGGGACUAAAGUGAUUAAUCUCCCAAAUUAGAUUUAAUUAAGGCAAGUUUAAGUGGGGUUUCUCAAUUUCAUUUGAAAAUAAUUCAUCUAUGUUAUAAAUUCUAACUGAGCUUAUAAAAAUGUUGAAAUUGUUAGAUUGAACAUAGUGAUUAGGGUUCGAUGGUGAGUAAUCUUGAUUUUUGAAACAUAAGAGAUUUAAUUAAAUUGAUCACCCGAUAGAUAGGAUAUGCCUCAUAUAAUCGAAAAUAAAAGUUUCUCCACAAAUGGUAGGACCAGGGGCGAUUUUACCCCCAGUUAGCCCGGGCAUGCGCCCAGGCUCAACCCAUAAUUUCUUUAUAUCGCUACAAGAAAUUUACAAGAAAUUUGACUUUUAGUGACGGCCAAAAUCCGUCACUAUAGGACAAAUUUCCGUAGCUAAAUCUGUCUAUCAUUGCUAAAUGAGUGUCACUGCAAGUUUUCCACUUUUACCUACGGAAAAAACUAUAGGUAAUUCUAAGUAGAUCAUUUUAAAAACAUUAUAACCUCUACCGGGGUUUCUCAAUUUCAUUUGAAAAUAAUUCGUCUAUGUUAUAAAUUCUAACUGAGCUUAUAAAAAUGUUGAAAUUGUUAGAUUGAACAUAGUGAUUAGGGUUCGAUGGUGAGCAAUCUUGAUUUUCGAAACAUAAGAGAUUUAAUUAAAUUGAUCACCUUGGUAGAUAGGAUAUGCCUCAUAUAAUCGAAAAUAAAAGUUUCUCCACAAAUGAUAGGACCAAAGGCGAUUUUACCCCCCAGCUAACCCGGGCACGUGCUCGGGCUCAACCCAUACUUUCUUUGUAUCGCUACAAGAAAUUUGACUUUUAGUGACGGCCAAAAUCAGCCACUGUAGAGCAAAUUUUCGUAGCUAAAUCUGUCUGUCAUUGUUAAAUGACUGUCACCGCAAGUUUUCCACCUUUACCUACGGAAAAAACUGUAGGUAAUUCUAAAGAGAUCAUUUUAAAAACAUUAUGACCUCUACUUACAAUUACGAUUGUCACUAAAAUUUAUUAUUGUUUUAUUUUGUCCAUACUCCAUAAAAUUCCUAGCUACGUACUUGGUAGGAGAAUGCAAGAGAUUUGUUGUGGUGUCAGAUGGAACUUGAAAUUAUUCCUGAACAAGAAGCUAAAAUAACCUACAAGUCAAGAUCCAUAUAACGGAAGCUUAGGUCUGAGAGGAAUAUUACACCAUAUAGUAUUUCUUAAUUCAAUUAUGCCACCUAAGCCCAAAGUUUUGAAAAUUAAAUUGUUGUCAUUUUGCAGCACUCUGCGUCAGAAAGAUAAUGCUGACUAUUGUCUUAGCAAUUAGACCAGUCAACACAAAGGGUUCAAUAUGGGGCCACUGCACGUGUAUGGAUGAUUGUCAUAUACUAUCUAGCUAGAUUAGAAAAUUUUCAAAUUAAGAUUAAGAUGCAAUUCCUCUUUGUCUUGUUCAAUAUUCUAAACAAAGAGUAUAAAUAAAUAACUUCUACAUCAUGUUGCUUGUUAGUGUUGUUUUCUUAACUAUACGAUUACUUCUUGCUUAGCACUAUCAAUUAAUUAUCAUUCUUUUGUAUUAAUGUUGACUAGAUACUCAUACAAUUUUUACUUUAUAGAUGUAUUGGGUUUAUGUAUGAGCUAAAUGUAUAUUUAUAAGACAGCUCCUUUAUAUCUUCAACAAAUGACAUCAGAGUUUUGAUUCAAUUUAAUGGUAGAGUAAGAGUGAGAUCUUUAAUGUGUUGAAUCCUCGUAUCAAAAAUCAUUGUGAUAAUAUAGUCAAGAGGCAUGUUUCGUUGGUGAUAAUAGUAUUGGUAAAGGAUGUGAGAUAUUCAUGCUUGAGAAGUAAAUUACUUGGUUUAAUGAUAAUUUUUAGUCUUACAUUAACUAUAAGAGACAUCUAUAUAUUUUAUCUCUCUCAAAAACAAAAACAAAAAAUUAUAUAUUUUAUUUUAGGGUUUUUAGUAUAGAUGUUAUGUCAAAAUCUCUUAGUAAUCUUUUUAAGAGAUCUCUUAAGAGUCCUAGACUAUUGUAUUCGUUAAUAUUCUCAACAUUAAUGUGUAACAUGGUUAACUUUUUAGUUGCAUCAUCAACUAAUUACGUCCAUAUCUGAUAAAAAAAAAAUAUAACGAUGAAAUCUAGAAGCAAACCCCUCCUAGAGAUCAAAAAAGUACAAACUACAAAAGAACACAAUGUUGCUUAAUGAUUGAGACACAACUUCAUUUUUCAUUAUAAGAUAUAGGAUGUAACUAGUAUCAGUGUACCAUAUUAAACACAUUAGCUAAUUUAUUCACAAGUGACUUUCAUAUUUUAAAAUUAAAUCAAUUAAUGUAGUUUGAACAGGGAGCAGUUGUUAAAAAUCGAGCCUUGAUAUAGGGAUUGUUGAACCUAUUAAUUUAAAUAAAUUAAGAGAGCAAUGAGGCAUAGCUUUGUUAUCAUUUCAAUUUCAAAAGUCUUAACAAUAAUAUGCAGCUAAUUUGUCUUGUCUAUUUAAUAAAAUAAAAUAAAUCAACAGGGCAAUUCCCAAAUCGAACAUUAAAAAUUUAACACAUCCAAAGAAAGUAUCAAGCUCCUAUCGGCCUGCAAAGAGGAGAGAAUUGGGAUGUAAUUUUAAAUUAUCAACGUGAGUCGAGUCAGUCUUGUUCUUGUAAAGAGGGUAAAGUCCAAGUCUAUAAAUAUUACUAAGCCGUUUAUCAACCUUGUCAAAGAUGAAAUUGAAAAGUAUUCUAAGGGAUACUUUUAUGGAAGAGAAAAACUAAGGAUUUGAAAGUUGAUCAUAAUUUUUUUUAACUACAUAUCCUUAAAAUUUAGUCUAAUUAUAUUUACAUGUUUCUACUUAUUUAAAAGUGUGAUUGUAACACAUACUGAGAUAGAGAAGAUUGAGAAUCACAAAAUAAUUCUAUUUAAAAACUAAGGAUAUUUUAGUAAUUUUCCCUAUAAAAAAAUUUAAACUAUUUUGGUGGGAUGGGCCUGGCCCACCCGAGCCCUAAAGUGGUUCUACCACUAAUAGAAAUUCCAUGAUACUUCUUCAAAUCUUAUGUCAUUUGAAGUGGUUUGGUCGUAUCGUGGUAUCUCUUUAUAUAUAAGUAUAAAUUGAUGUCUUUAUAUUCUUGUUUAGUGAUGAUAAUUAAAUUCAAAUUCAUUCCUUAUGUAUCCACAAACUUUAACGGGAUGAAAUCAUUGAUUAUCGAUCAACUAUGUUCAUCUCAAGUCAAACAUUUGUUGAUAUUGUUGGAUUGUCUACUCCUCAAGUUUUUUUUUUGAUAGAAUUUUUUUUUUAACAUAACAGAUAUAUUAGUUCCCGCCAGACACUCAUAAAACUAUAAAUCUAUUAAAAAAAUAUACUAUAAUAUUCUUAUAUUGUUUUUUGAGAGGUUUAAUAUUCUUUAGAAUGGUAUUCAACUUUGUUAAUAUUUCAACUUUGUAUCAUUGAUGCCAAAAUUUAUAAUUAAUUUACCAUGAUACAAAUCAAUAUCACCGAAGUUUAGCGCAAAUAGUUGAUGCAUAAAGUAUGUGAUUCUUAUAAACUUCGGGGUACCGGGUUCAUUUUCCACUAAUUAAAGAAAUCUCAAUUGAAACAACAUAUGUACUAUAAAUUAUCAAAGUCGUCUGAUAUGGAAAUCACAAAUACACAAUAUUGUUAAAAAAAAUACAAAUAAGACUAUAUUAUUCACUUUGAAAUUAUUUCUUGAAGCAAUUGAUUGAAUGUUUUUAGUUUAAUAUAAAAAAAAAUUCCUUCUAGUUUUCCAUUUAUCUCUAUUUAAAAGAUUUUCAUGCUAACGAUGAUCAAGUAAAAGAACGUUAAAUAUAUGAUGUUAACAAUGAUUAUAACUACAAAUAACUAAUAUAAUCUAUUUGGAGAAUACCACUUGCUAGUCUAUGAAUUUACUUUUUGUCAAUGAAAAUUCAUGAAUUUAUUUAGACAUCCUCAUCAAGAGGAUACAUAUACACGUACUGAAGUUGGUAUCAACAAGAAUAUAGUAAAACAAGGGAGGUGUGGAAAGUCUCUGUUUUCGUAAACUCCCCCUAAAUCCUAGUUGGGCCAAGUUUGUCGUAAAAUGAAGCCCAUUAUUAGAAGCGAAAAGUAGUUGCGAUAAUUUAUUUAUUUAUUUGUACCCAAAAUGAAAAGACAAUAUGACCCUCGACUCUCACUCUCUCGUUUUCAAUUUUCGCUGGCGCUCUCUUUUUCUCUUUCUCUUUGGUCUUGUUCUUUUUUCUAUCUCUGACCGGGAAAAACCUCACCAACUCAACCCUAGAUUCUCUCUCUUUCUUCAAUGGCUUUCGCUUCUUUUCUCGGAAGAGUUCUCUUCGCCUCCGUUUUCAUCCUCUCUGCUUACCAAGAGUUAGUUCUUUUUCUUCUCCAAUUUUUUUUUUUGAAAAAUAAUCAUGCAUGUUGGUUAUUAUUAUUAUUAUUAUUACUAUUGUAAUUUCUGUAAAUACAAGGGUUUGAAGUGAUUUUGUUUUCUACUGAAAUUGUUGUUGCAUCGUUUGGAUCUGUUUCGUUUAAGACUUAAACCACUUGUCAGAGAAAAUUGUUUAGUAGAUCUAUUUGAAGCAGAUAUUUUUUUUUUUUUUUUUGGAUCUGUUUAAUUUGUUUAUGAUGCGUUAUGUGUUAUUGUCAAGCUGGGAAAUUAGCCGGAAAUUUUUUAAAAUUUAGAGCUAGUUUGGAUGGAUGAGUAUUUUUCACAACCACUCAUUGAAAUGAAAAAGUUGAAAUUAUUUUAUGAUAACUAAUAGCUUCUCUCAUUAAUUGACCUAAACUUUGGAACUUUAAUUUUAUUCAUAAGCUCAUUUAUUUAAAUUAUGCAUAAUUAUUUAUAAUUUUUAUACAGAUUUAUUUAUUAGUUAGAAAGUAAAUACUUAUUUAGUUAUUUAUCUUAGUUCAAAAAGGCAAGACAAGAUAUUUAUUUUAUGUAUAGAUAUUCUUUAUCAAUUUACUAUCAAUAUUACUUACACAUGAAUAGGAGGCAAGCGGGCAACAAGCUGCGCAGCUAGACCUUUUUGGAUGGCAAAACCAAUAUUCAUGGACCUAGGAGACAUAACAUUGCUAUGCAUAACCCUUUAGUUUAAAUUUUAUUUAUAUAAGCUGGAAGCUAAUCCAAAAUGGACUUUAGUUUUUAUAUCUUUCUUUGAGGGAGAUAUAUCUGUAGCAUUUAUUUUACUCUGAAUUUCUGAUCGCCAUUGCUCGUGGAUUUUGAUUUCUGAUUGAUGUGGAAUGAUGUGAACACUGUGUGCCCAUUUUCUUAUCUAUACUAUGCCAUGUUUAAUUUUUUAGCUAAGUUGGUUUGCUUGAAUUUAAUAAGUUGUUUUUGGGAUUUUUCAUUGUACUUGUUGAGAAAGUUGCUGGUUAUUGCUAGUGCUUGCUGACUGAUCACAUUUAAUCAGAGAUUUGGAGCUGAAACUUAUUUUCAUAUGACAUUUGAAUUCUAGAAGCACUCGUUUAUUAAUUGAUUUUUUAUGGCUUUUCUUUAUUUUUCCUUCCUCUCACAGAUUUAAUGACUAUGGAGUUGAUGGGGGACUUGCAGCAAAAGCAAUCAGACCGAAAUUUGAUGCCUUCAUACACAAAGUAGAUUCACAAGUUGGCUUCAAUCUUCCAGAAAUUGAUGUUAGUCUUGUUCUCUUUCUCAGUAUCAAUAAUGUCAGGAAAGCAUGAUUUAAAUUUAAAACACAAGGAAAAAGAAAGUUAAAUUACAGUGAAGUGAAGUCUUACAUGGACUGCUUAGGAGUUUAGUAAUGAUCAUGCAUUUUUCUGUUAUCAUCAAGUAUAGGGAUGGCUGAAGUGAGAAGCCUGAUUAAUUGUAUAUGAAAACCUACAAGAGUACUUAAUACUCCCUGCAUUCCUAAAUACAUGUUGCAGUCAACCAAUUCACACAUGUCAAUACAAAACUUUGACCAUUAAUAUCUUUAGUUAUCUAUAAAAAAAAAAAAUUGAUAUUUUGAAAAUAUCCAUUGAGACUAACUGAACAACAUCUUAUAUACUGACAUUUGUAUUUAUAUAUUAGUUAAAAAAUAUGGUCAAAGUAAGUUAUGCCUUUGUAAAUGCAUGGGUUCAAUUAAGACUAUUAUGUUGGUUGGUUUGGUGGUUGGAGUGAGAGAGCUAAUAAAUGAAAUGAUAAGGUGGGAGAAAGUUCGAUUUCCUUCCACUCCCAACAUAAUACUAAUUAUACGAAUAUUUUCCAUUUGAAAAAACAACUAUCAUGUAGGCUGGACAAAGUAUUAACGUAUAAUCCUAAAAAGGUAUUAACUUGCUUGACUGCUUGCCCAUCAUAAUUUUGGGAUCUCAGGAAGCAGUAUGAUAUGAUAGUGUUGGACAUGAAUGAUAAAAAUGUUCUCAGCAACUUUAAAAAGUUCAUACAGCUUUUGAAAACUGAAAUGGGUGGAGGGUUGAUAAAGAUGUUGGGGAAGUUAUGAAACAUCACAAUGGAAAACAAUUGAAUUUUCUUUCGUCAUUUUAUCUGUUAUGCAUAUUGUCAUCCCUUUAUCUACAUUUAUGUGUUCAAUGAUGCACUCCUUUUCACGUGCAUAUUACUUUGCUUUGUAUCUAGAAAAUUUAUGUUUAUUUAUAUAAUAAUUUAAUUUAUGUCAUGAACAGAUAAAGUUUUUAGUUGCUGGGGCUAUUGCUCUCAAGGGCAUUGGAGGGAUUCUUUUCAUACUUGGCAGUUCGUUCGGAGCUGUACUUUUGGUUUGUAGUUUGAAUUCUCUCCUUGUAAUUGAGUUUAUUUUCAUGUCUAGUGCCCUGUUUAAUAUGGUUCUUUUCUCCUUGUAGCUUUUGCACCAGUUGAUCGCCACUCCAAUAUUGUAUGAUUUCUAUAAUUAUGGCAAUGAGGACGGAGAAUAUAUUCAACUUUUCAUCAAAUUCACACAGGUUAGAGCCAUGGGCUCACUAUCUUUUUAAUGUAUUUUCAUGUUGGAAUGCCUGAUUUCAAGCUACUGUCACAGUGUUCCUUCAUGUAUUGUUACAAUUGUUUAUUAAAUGGUAUGGUAUUACUCCUUGCAGAAUAUGGCUCUCUUUGGAGCUUUGUUGUUUUUUAUUGGGAUGAAAAAUUCCAUUCCUAGAAGGCAACCCAAGAAGAAGGUUCCCAAAACAAAAACCUACUAGUAGCCGAAAUUUCAAGACUCAUUUUGCAAGAAGGUUCCCUGGUUGAUCAGUAUUCCCAUUCCUCAACUUCCCAGGAUCUGGCUAGUGCUUGUCUGGCACCAGCACAAAUCUCCCCACCAAGUAUUGUAUUUUUAGGUGUAGCAUCAGUCUUACUUGGAUUACACAUGAUUUAUGUAUGCAUAUAUAUUGUUCUUUUGCUCGACAUUAGGAACUAUCUUUCAAUUGCUAAACUUGUCCCACCAAAAGGAGAGUUAAAAUGAUUAGAUUCUGUUUGCUCAAAUGUGGAGAUUGCUGAUUUCGUUCUUUCUAGCGAAUUCGAUAUUAAAGGUCCUAAAAGUGUGGCUGCCAUUGAAGUUGCUGUUGUAUUACAUGUUCCCCGCUUUGAUUUCUUUGACCCUUUUCACCUGACUUUGUGUUUGUUCAGUAUCGCGGGAGUUUGGCAAGAUCAGAGUGAGCCACUGUGAUUUUGUUCUUAUCUCCUACCCAACAUGAUACUAAACAGGCACUAUGACACAAAUAGGGUUGCUCAGUGAGACUUGUUAAAAGUCUUGUCUAAUCUAUCUGUUGUUGAUUCACAUUAUGGGAUCUAUUUCCUCAGAUUUUGUCUGGUCAAGCACAGUAGCAAUUAAUGAUUUUGAGAAUCGGUAUUGGUUGGAGAACAUCAAAUGGCGGGUUUCAAUUCAAGGUGAGGUUUGAUAGUACAAUAACUCUAUUAUCUAUUGCUAUAUUGAAUAAUUGGUAAAAUAAUUAGUUAUACGUGUAUGUCGUAUUCUCCACUGAUGUGUCAAGUGUCAAAUUCAAGAGUAGACUUCCAACGAAACUUUUGGCUUAACCGUUUGUCUGAAUGACUUGUUUGUUUAAGAUUGGUUUCAGUUGCUUUUAUUUUGGACCACCAUCAUAUAUAUGGUCCACCAUGCACCUCGUUAUUUUACCAUUCAAUUUUCCUUCUUUGUCGUUAGAGAUUUCUUGCCGGACCCUCUCCCCCAAUUCCUCUUCAAUGGCCUCGAUCAAUGCUGUUCCAUUCGAUAAGUAAAAGAUCUGACAUAAAAAAAAAAAAAAAAAAAAACCUGCGACUUUGUCCAAUACAUGCAAGACUGGCUUGUUUUUUCGUUUAUAUUUUAGAUAUGAAUAUGAAUUAUUUAACUUAUAUUGACUCAAAGGGUUGUUUGGAAAGGUGUUGAAAAGGUCCUUUGUGUGCCGGUUGUUUAUUCCACCUUGUGACCUUUUUUGGAAUAUCAAGAAAAUAGAUGCUGGCAAAACUACAUCUAGUUCCUGAGUGAAGGCCAUGAGAGGAAGACAAAGAUCAGACACAUAGGCUUAAACCUAAACAAAGUAGCAUACUAGCAACAUUCCCGUUUUUUCAUAAAAUAACAGAAUGAACUAAAAGAUUCAUUAAAGACGUGGACAAACCAUUGAAGGUAAUCUCUUAACUCAGGUGCAAGUGCUGCUUUUAACUUUUAAGAAAAUGCUUUUUCUCAUUGAGCAAAGAAUCUGGAAACAAAUCUGCGACCACUUGCUUAAUGUGCCCAAAUCCCUUGCAAGUUACCACUAGGAUCAACCACAGUCCAACCAUUUUUUAUUGUUUUAGAGAUUGCAAGUGAUUCAAAAUAACUUCAUCCAUUUAUAGAAACUAAAAUUUGAUUUUACGUUGAUAACUAAUCACACCACAUCACAAUAUAUAAUGAACCGCAAGUUGCAGUAUAUUCUCCAUAGUUUUCUUAUUAAGCUCUCAAGGCUAUAUAUUUUAACUGAUCAUCAAAAGAUAAAUCUGGAACAUCAAAAAGGUGGCACUAUAUUUUAACUGACCAUCAAAAGAUAAAUCUGGUCAACGCUUUGUAUUGUUUUCAAUGCCAAACACAAACAUACAAUCAAAUAAAAAUCAUAUAUUCCAACCCAAACUUAAGAAAAACAACAAACUGAGUCUUGCUCGUUACAAGGGUAGGAGAUUCUGAGCAUCAAUCAUUUCAGAGAUCAAGAAUGAGUUCUGGUGACCAAUAAACGGCCGCGAAGUUUCGACGAAUCAAACAGUUACUGUUGAUACACAACGCUCUUGGAUUGUAGUAUCUGAACAAGUGGCCACAAGAUGUCCAAUCUGUGUACAUUUCUGUUGUUUUCACCCUGAUACACAAUUUGUUCAUCAUUCAUCAACAACAAUGACUUGAUAGCUAAUAUAAAAACAAAAUAAAUCCAUGGAGCAGUUUCAAUUGGUAAAGUAUAUCUUGUUAGAUGUUUUUUAUUGAAGAAGAUAUCUUGUUAAAUGUUAGUAUUAGAAUUUCGUGUUCUAGUAAAGAAAAGGCAUGCAAAUGAAAUUUAUAUAAUCUCAAUGUAUCUGAUGUUUUCAACUACAACAAAUAAACUCUCAAUGACUGGUAUGCAAUAAUUUUUUAAAUAUAUUUUAAUUAAAUUAUAUAUAAUUGGUUUCCCUUAGUUUAAUAACAGUUGUCACGUCAACAAUUAAAAAAAACAGUGCAGUAAGAAGGUUUGACUCUACAGUCUACAACAACGACCAAGCCUUAUUCCUAUAGAUCGGUUGGCUUGGUUUGAUUCUAGAGAAAAUAAAUCUUCUGUUAGUUAUUAUCUUACCUCAACGAUAAAGCAUAUCGAUAUCUUCUUAUUACGAGCUUUUGUUGCACCCUUCAAAAUUGUAAGCCCCAAGCUUCUUACAGCUUCUGCUAUUUCAAGAAAAUGGCUGCUCUCUUCACAUAGCGUCUACAAGAAAAGUCAGAAUGAGAAUAGAGAAUGUAUGCAAUACCUCAACAGGGGGAGUUUUUCUCUGUGUUUGUAUUAUGUAUUAUAAUUUUUAAUUAAUUUUUUUACUUGAUAAAUCAAAUUGUAAUAUUCCAGGUCAUACUCACACGUACCUCAAUAAGCAUCUGUCCAUUGUUGCUAAGAUUCUCCACUAAUAUUGAAUGAACUUUCAGAUGACCCCCUACCUCAACUGCCCAACUUGAACCCUGCUCAGAACUAGAGGAUCCAAGAAUGUCUGUUUCCAUAUGAUGCAACUACAAAAUUGCAGUAGUGCUAAUUAAAGAAGGGAGAAAAUCAACAAAAAUGCUGAAUGUCGUCAUUUGCAUUCAAAAGCUUAUAUAAAAUGUAGUCAAAUAUUUUUUUUUACAGAUUAUGGACCAGAGGACAUAUUUCUCAAAUCCCUCUAAACCUUACCUUUGAUUUAGUAUCAGCAAGUUUAGUUAGCUUGUCAGCAUGCUUAGUUAUGCUUUGCAGAAAGAGCAUGUGCUUUAUCGAGCGCUCCAGUAGUGAAUCAAUACUACACUGUUGAAGUUAACAUAAAAUGUUUAGCCACAUGAACCAGAACUGCAACCAUCAUUCAAAAAGCAAAAACAGGUGCGAAAAUAUUACAGAAAGUUACCUUAGCUCCAUUUGGUACCAACUCUCUAAGCUCCUUAAUUCGAUCUUGGAUCAGUUGCCUGUCUCUUGGUCGAGGUCUACAACUUUCCCCGGGCCUAGCCCUCUUCUUGCUGUUUUUAGAUGGUUCAGAAGAUCUUUCAAAUUGUUCACUACAAGCACUAGGACAUGUAGAAGAAACAACUUUAGAUGAUGAACUCAAACAAUGGUUUUUGUCCUCUCUGACAAGAGAAGUAUGAUCUAUAGUGUGCACAUCUUGAAUAGAAGCAUCGAUUGUUUUUCCAGAACUCAAUGCAGAUUGCAUUGAUCUACAAAAUGAUAAUUCACUAUUAACAUCAUUAUUACUACUGUGACAGAUGUUGGCCACCAUUGCUUCCAAAAGAUGCUCUGGAUGAGAUUCAGAAGUCAGCUGACUAGUGUUAAACACAUCCGGCACAUCCACAAUUUUCAUAUCUUGAUUAACCUGUGCCAACCAAUCAAAAUAUUUACUCCCUUUCAAAGAAGAUGGUCCAAGUGCUUCAAGUAGUUCACAUCCAGCCGGAAACUUCAACGGUGUAUAGGAGGAAUUCUUUUCCGAUUGGUGUAUUAAAUCAUAGACGCCAGCAUUAUUUAUAGCAGAAUUGUUUAAAAAUGACGAGCGAUUUUGUUCCGAGUCCAAUAUCAUAUUUUUGCAGCCACUACUGCCCCCUUCACACUCUCUCGAGUUUAUAGGUCUUAUCUCUCCAAAUUCCUGAUGCUCCACAUUAAUCAUAUCAGACAUUGACUGAAGCAAAAUGGGACUCACAUCACUAUAGAGCUCGGCCCCUUCAUGCUUGACCAUAUUAUCACCCAUUUCCCAAUAAGCAGAAUGAGUUGUGUUGUUCCUCCCAGAACAUUGAAGGGGCGUCAAAACAUCCACUGUUUUAUUCCUCAUGCACGCAGGCAUAAAAUCCGAAGAUGAUUUUUCCAUCAAGACAUCUGGCUGAAAAAAAGAAGUGUAAACCUUAUGAUAAUGCUCGGCACAUCCUGGUUAUAAAUAAUUAUGGCAUAACUCCACUCGCUUUCCAUAUUAGUGAACGCGUAACAAUGGCCAUGCGAAUUGUUACACAAAUCCCUUACCCCCUAACAUUUAAUAAGACAAAUCAAGAUAUAUGAUCGAGAUCGUUUAACUGAGUCGUCCAAUCUCAAAUCAAUGGUCGAGAUUGAUUACUGCGUGAAACUGUGUAGAAUUAUUACUGCAGGCAAUCCAGGUCAGUGUACGAAGAAGCUUACCUGAGAUGAAGAACUCUUCGAACUACUUUGUAUUUGACUAGGAAUGUGAUCUAUUGAGUAAUCUUGAGUAGACAAAAAAAGAUUUCUUAUAUGAUUAACAACCCCCGUAUCUUCAUUCACCUGCAGCAGCGGGUGGCAAAAACAACGCAAAUUAUCAAAUGUUUACACAAUAAAUGAACUUCCUCAUAAGUUUAUAUCCUGGAAAUAUCCUACAAUCCAUCAAAAUCAUAGAACAGCUCAUGACAAUAGAAUAAAAUUAAACAAAUUAUACAAAGAGAUUAAGAGCAAGACCUAAAGAAAGAGAAGCAAAUAGGCACAAAUCUUUAAUAAAAACUAAUUAGCUACUUCUGGAUUAAGUAAUUGACUCUUUCUACCAAUUUAGGCAACUUUUUAUAUUAAAAAAGAAAAAGAACAAAUAACUUAUUCUCCAUACUAACAUCACGUCAGAUUGAUAUCUAUAUCUAUAACAAUAUUAUCCAUAAGUUCGGCAUUAGCAAGUACCACAGUACUUGAUUUCAUGCCAAAUCAUCAGGUUCCGGUAGCUAGUUUAGUAAAUUAUAAUUUAGAGUACUUGUAGCUAACAGAACUACAUUAUGCUUAAGUCCUCAAAUGACAUAACUAGGAGGGUUGAUAACAGCUUCACUUGUUUAUCUUUCUUUUUCACUAAGUUACAUGUACAUAUUUUUCUAGUAUAUAAUUUGGAUUGUUCAAGUAUUUAGCCAAUAUCUAAAUCAACAGCUAGCUACUACAGAAAUACGCUAGAAACAAAAUAAAAGCAAGUCAUGAAAUCUGAAUGGUCGUGAUAUAUUCAAGCAAAAGAACGCAAAUAAAAUUUAAAAUCACAACAAAUACAAGGAAUGUUAUGAACAGCAAGCAUCAUGAAGAGAUAUUAUGUUGCUCAAGCAAAGGAAAUAAACAUAAAAAAAGUACUCAUCUUACUUUUAUUAGAGAGCCGAGCUGAACAACGCCUAGUGGGACUACAGACACAACAACAAUUGUCUAAAAGGCAAAGUAAAAGCUUUGUCAAUGAAAAACUUCAGUGCGAACAAAGUAUAGUGAUGCAGACUAGGAAAUUGUUUUCUAUCGGCGAAUUUCUAGGUUUCUUGCAUAAAGUACACAAAUGUGGAACGCAACAUUAUAUUAUUUCAAUAAAGUUUGGUUGCAAUUAGUGAAAAAAGAACAAUGAACCGGAGUCUUGUAAUGGCUUGGUUAUUUGUCUUAUUAAAUCCUAUUACCACAUGAACCAUACUUUUCCAAAUAUACCAUCAACAUUAAACUAUCCAUUAUCAUUAUUAUAAGUGUUGUAAACUGUAGAUCGCGGAAUUUAGCAGUUUGUUCCAAUUCAACUAUGCAGCAGUGCUAUAGCCGCUAUUUGACAACAUGAUGUACUAAAUAGCAUAACGCUGAACAAUAGUGAUUUGUUCAAAUUCUGCUAUGCAUAUAGCUACCAUUUAACGACACUGCUUGGUAUUACUAUUGGUAUUGUGAGGUGAUUGUAAUUUUCAGAUAGACAUAGAAAGUUCACUUCCAAUUCUAAUAAAUCAGUAAGCAUACCCUAAUUCCAGCAGAAAAUUGAGAUUGCCACCCAUCAACAAACUGAAAAUCAAACGAAAAGGGGGAAGAAUGAGAACGGUUGGAAGUUUAGUUAGAUAGUGACAUGACCCAAUACAAAUUCGAGAUCUUCAAAUUUUCUAAGGCCGGGGACAAUAUUAAAUAACAAGAAUUCUCACCUCAAAAGACAAGCCAGAACUUGUAACUUGAUUAUUAUCUGCACAGAUCCACUGAUGCUUUCCAGUAACGGCUACCUGUCCAACAAUACUGUAAACGAAGGUUCUUAGGACGAGGGCAACCUAAAUGAAAGUUUCAAAUCUCAAAAUGUUGCAUUUGAUUAAUCAUACCCUUGCCCUAAUGGAUAUGCAUUAUACCGCAUCUUUGCAACAGCUAACCCCAAAGCGUCAUGUGAAAAUUUCCCACCCUCAAUCUGUUCUAAGGUCUUCUGACAGUACUUAUUUUCUGAAGCGUCAAAAUAAUCUGAAUUGUCAUAGUAAGCAUCCUCCAAUGUCAAGAUCCUGCACAAAAAAAAAAAAAAAAAAAUUACCACAUCUCGAAAAUUUAAGGUAAUGCAUAACUAUUUGUGCUAAGUGAAUUCGUAACAUAACCACUAAUUUACUGACAUUUGCUUAUCCAAAAUAAAGACAGGCAUGGAAAAUCACCUAACAUAGAAGGGAAAAAAAGUUAAGGAAGAACAUAAAGGAAAAUCUUUAGUCCUUUACACUAAAAGAUGAUUAAAAAAAAAUAUAACAUGAUCUGAUUGUUAUCAAUAAAAACAAGAUGUAUACGCUAUACAACCAAUUAAGCUAACCGGACAUGUUUAAAAGACCAAUUCAAAUUUCAGACCAAGCGGUACAAUCAUGCAAAACUACAACUUCACAUGCAAUUGGUUGGACUCAAAUGGUUAACGAGCUUCAGCUAAGGACGAAUCAUUCGUCGAAUCCUUGCUGGAAUAAUCUUUAGUAAGACUUUUACCUCUAUACCGAACUCCAAAUUACUAGGGAGGGAUUGAGGGUUAAGACCAAAAAUACAACUUCAACUCAUUUAACAUAUUCUAUUUUGCCAACAUCCAAAUAAAAGAUUCAAUGCAUGUGAUGCACACAGAAGAAAGAGUAAGAGUUGUAGUAAUAACAUACAAUGGAGCACUAUGUUUGAGCUUCCAAAAGAUUGCAUAAUUCCACUGAGUAUUGAAACAAAGACUUCUAAGUAGUUGAUGCAAGUUGUUAACCAUCUUCUUCUUCCCCUUAUAAAAAGUUAGAAACUUUUACACCUCAAAGACACCCUCAAGCAAAAGGGCCUUCAAAUUAGUCCUCAAAAAAAAAGAAGAAAAACCCUCCAAAUUCCAAUCACACAAAACCAAUCAAAUCAAAUUUCCCUAACUAGCUAGCUAACUUCCUCUGUAAGACCCUCUUCCAGCUUGUUUCCUCCGCAACCCAGCUCGCCGUUUUAAUGGCGGUUCUCUUCCAACUGUUUGUAGCACCACACAAUCCCAACCCAUCACUCACACCACAAAAUUCUCACCACCCCACCAACAAAAGCUUCAAACUUUACUCCCUAAUCGGUAAAUUAAACAGAACCAAACCCUCUAUUACGCUAGAAAAGCAAAAUUACAACAACAAAACUUGCAACUAGCCAUAAUAAUAACUUGAAUGUAAACUACUUUGUUCUUGAUUUUGAAGGUAGAUUCAAUAAAUUUAGCUUAUAUCUGAUGACAUAUCAAAGUGUUUAAGGGAAUUGAGGUGUUGAAUUUCUCUGAAAAUGUGAAAGAUUUUGCAAACAAUGAAGAGUUUUGCUUACCCUUUUCACAGAGAAACAGAGAGAGAAUGAGCUUGUAGUAGUUGGCAAUUGCUGAGAAGAAAGUGAAUAAGUAAAGAGUGACAAAAUGUCAAUGGUGUGAGAGAGAAGAUGUGUGAGUUGAGUUCUUCUAUAUUGUAGUUGGAACUAGAAAAAAAAUUAUGCUAAUCGAGUCACAGAGUUUUCGAUCUUAACCGUUGGAUCUAAAGUACUCUCGUAUUUAGAGGGAAACAAAAAAUGUAACUUUAGUAGAAGAAAAGGAAAAUGUUAACGGUAAAUAUUAAAAUGAUCAAUCUCUUUCUUAAACUCCUUUAAUAUUUCAACCUUUUAUUUUAUAAUUUCGUUCGUCUAAUCUUAACUUAACGACUGAGAUUGUUUGCUACGAAUAUUUGUUUUUCUUAUUGUAAGAAAUUUAAAUCCUAAUCAUAAGAUUAGAAUGCAUUUUACAUUGGUAAACUUUUAAAACAAAUGAAACAAAAUAUUGACUUUGGAGACUAAUAAGGGAAAAAGUCCCAGGGGGAACUUCAUGGAGGAUUAGAGGCUAAUUAGAACUUAUAUUUAACAUUAGCAUCCACCAUUAGGACAAAUCCAAAAAGGAACAAUCCAAUUGGGUUAUGACUUAUGAGUAUACUUUAUGGUGGUGAAUAUGGAUGGCCAACAACAUCAUAUCAAAUUGAGAACAUGCUUCCUUAACUUUUCUUCAUGUUCUCAACCCUUUCUUUGAAAUUCUAGUAAAAGGAGUCCCCUUCUUUAGGUACUUUUCAACAAUGAUCUUAUUGUGCCUUGCUGUAAAAAGAAAACAAUCAUCUUAUUGCCCUAAAGUUAUCACACCUUCAUAAUUUUGCAUCAUAUAUUAAUGUAACCUUUUACCAUUCCUUGCAUUAUAAUUGUUUUUUUGAGAGGACCCUUCUUGUGCUAUAAUUGUAUAUAUUGAAAAAUGCUCUCAUUUUCAUGAAAAGAUGCCACACCAAAACAUACAAAAUUAUGUGAUUGGUUAUUUUCUUCACUGGCUUAUAUAUAAUUAUUGUUUAUUUAUAGAUAAAUGGUAGUAAUUCUUUUGUUAGGUAAAGAGAAAAAUUGUCAGCGAUGAGAAUAAUCGAACCCUGCAUCUUUUUUAUAAUACUUUUUCAACGUCUCAAUUCAUACCAUUGAAUUACGCUUUCUGAAGACACUAUUAGACUACACAAUUUCUUUUUUUUUUAUAUAGCAUCUGGAAUUUUUUUUAUGACAUUAUAGCAUCUUGGAUUUGUUUUUUAUUAUUCACAUUAUCUCUACUCGAGGAUUUAGCCUAAUUCUAUUAAGUCAAUCCCUUUAGAUUACUUGUUAGACAAGAGACAUAUCAGCAGGUGGUGUUUAGGGCAGUCACGUUUCUACAGGAUGGGUGGCAAGCAAAGCAACUAUUGCCUCCAAUUCAAGUGACUUCAAGGACUCCUCGGAUAAACACUUGGAUUGCACCACCUACUUGAUAAUAUAACGUGGAUACUAGGUUUUUUGUUACAGGAAUUGAUGAAUAUUUUAAACUGCACUAUCGUUAGUCGCCAAUUUUUUGACAGUGUCUUCUUUUAUUGCUCUAUCGUUUGUUUAUAUUUGUUCCUUAUAAAUAUAUUAAAUUUUUGUUUUAUUUUAUCUAAAAUUUUACUAUACUUUUAGUCCCUAUAAAAUUUUUAAUCAUCAUUUUUUUUUUUUAUUUUAAAGUCAACUCGUGUAUUUCUUAAUGAAAUUGUGCAAAAAUGUAUAAAAUAUUGUAAAAAUAUCUACAAAAAAAAAAAUUAGAAUUUUUUAAAAAAACAUGAAUUAAAUAUGAAUUUUUAACCACAAAAAAUAUAAAAAUUCAUAUUUAUAUCCUACAAAAAUAUCUUGAGGGAGACAAUAUAUGAUAAAAAAAUAAAUAUUGAGCGAGUCAUAAAAUUAUUAUAUCCUACAAAAAUAUCUUGUUUGGUGCACCAAUAAAAAAAAGAUAAAAUCAACCAAUUAUUUAUCCUAUCCUACUCCACUUUGUUAUUUUUAUCUUUAGUUUAAACUUGAUUAGGAACCAAAUAGCAUAAAACAUCACACGAGCGUGUUUUUUAGUAUUUUUCAAGAACGUUCUUCGACUCGACUCUAUACAUAACCUAUCUUUAUCAAACUUUUUAUCAUAUAGUCUUUAUCCUAUGAUACGUAUCAAACCGAACCUAUAAAAAUCACAAUGAGCGGUACAAUUUUGAUUAGAGCUACAUUUUAGAACUUCAUAACAUUAUGAUGCCAGUAUCGUUAAAACUACAUUUUAGAGCAUCAUAAAAUUAUGCUGAGUGUACAUACAAACAUACGCACUACAAAAGGACAAAAGACAUAAUGCAUAUGAUCUAAUUGAACUUUUUUUGUCAGGUAGUUUGGUGGCUAGAGUUCACCUUAUAAGGUAAAUAAGUGGGAUGUCCGGGGUUAGAACCUCGGCCCCUGCAUAUAAUAAUGCAUUGUCCUACCAACUGAGAUAUGCUCACGGGACAAUUAAUACAAUUUAUACCAAAAGAAAACAAAAAAGGGUAUCAAUAAAAGAGAAAAUACACAACCAAGAGAGUAGGUGCCAUUUAAUUUGGGAAAGGAGAGUUCUUUCCCACCAUGGGAAAGUUGAUCAUAUCCAUUAGAUUAAAUGAGGAGCAUAUUCCUAUCAUACUCUCUCAACCACUAGAUUAUUUUUGGCUUAAUACAUGCUUUGGUCCCUUAACAUAUUUUUGAAUUUCAUUUUGGUCCCCUAACUAUAAAGUGUCACAAUUAAAAAAUUCAUAUUUUUUAUAAAAUAUGAAGAAAAAAAUAUUCAAAAUUUUUAUAAAAUCAUUUUCAAAAUUGAAAAAAUUUAUUUUUUUACGAAAUUUUUAAAAAAGGUCAGAUUUUUUUUUUAAUUUUUUCCUACAAAAUUCUGGAAAAUAUUUUAAUUUAUAAAAAUCUGAAAAAAUAUUUUUUGAAAAAUAUAUAAAAAAUUCCAGAAUUUUUAUAAAAUCUCUUCCAAGAUUUAAAUGUUAUAAAAAAAUUAAUUUUGAAAAAUAUAUAAAAAAAAUUAUUCCUGAAUUUUAAUUUUAAAAAAUAUAUAAAAAAAUUAAUUCCUGAAUUUUAUAAAAUCUUUUAUAUAUUUUCCAGAAUUUUGUAGAAAAAAUAAAUAUGACCUUUUUUAUAUAAUUCAGGAAUAAUUUUUUUUUUCAUAUUUUAUAAAAAUCUGAAUUUUUUAUAAUAAUCUAGUGUUGAGAGAGUAUUAUAAGAAUAUAUUCCUCAUUUAAUCUAAUGGACAUGAUCAACUUUCCCAUGGUGGGAAAGAACUCUCCUUUCCCAAAUUAAAUGGCACCCCAAGAGUAUAUUAGUUUAAGAGGAGUGUUAUUUGAAUAGUCAAUUUGAUGACAACUUAUUUGACAACCAUACUUUACAAAGAAAAAAGUGGUAUUGGCACGGAAACCAUAGCAAUAGAGAGAUGAAGUAAAAAAUAAUGUGAGUAUGAGAGAAAAAGUUGUUGCAAAAGUUUGUCACUGAAUGGAUGUUCAAAUAUCAUUUCUCUUAGUUUAAAUGAUAGGUGAUUUGAAUCUGUUACAUGAGGAAUCUUAUAUGAGUUUCACACUUUAAAAUAUAUUUUACAUACACUAAUAAGAUUUACAUGAGUUCAUAUGAUAAAAGAGUUUAUAAUAUUUCUACCUCUUAAAUAAGUGAUUCACGAGAACUUGUGAGCUUAACUCAGUUGGUAGGAACAAUAAAUAAUAUAUGUAAGGUUUGGGAUUCAAACCCCGACCACCAUAAAUAAGUGGUUCACGAAUUUGAUAGACAGUGGAAACUCUAUCAAUACAAGGUUACAAAAAUGAGAAAAGAAAAGAAACAUUUUCAUCAUCAUAAUAUCACUUUCGUUGCUUUCCUUUUUUGCUUAACAUGGUUGGGAGCCAAAAUCAUCCCAAAUGGAUAUUGUAGCUAAACUUUUAGCCAACACGUAAUCUAAUUAAGAAAAGUUGACUCCUCAACCUCCAAAGUAAUGAGUAGAGUGUUUGAUUUCAUUAUGUCUUCACACUAGGUCAAGAUCGACGGGCAUAUGAGGAUGCAACACCAGUAAGAUAUCAAAUUUAAUUUGGGAAAUAAUUAUUUUGGUCUUCAUUGUAUAACGAAUAAUUACGAUAUUCUUUUGACAAAAACAAAAUAAUAUUCAUUUAUUUAAAUUGGUCUUCAACUUAAUUUUACAUGUGGUGGAUAUAUAAAUAAUUCUAGUGGAUUCGUCGGGGUGGAUUUUAAUAAUAUUUUCGAUCAUUUGGUGUGGUUUACAUAUAUGAGAGGUGUUGGUAAAGCUAAAUGUUCGUUCAAGUAGCUAAUUUGGCUUCUGUGUGCAUGGAUUGUUUGGAACGAACGUAACAUCCGUCUGUUCAAUAAUGUUGUAACCAUAGUUCCCCUACUUUUAGAUAAGGUUAAAUUGUUAUCUCUAGGGUCGCUGAAAGCUAAUAAUGUCAUGUUUGUUUUUGGUACUCAUAGGUGGUGGUUAAACCCUUUAGAUUGUUUGGGCAUUGGGUAACUAUUGUUGUUUUAUUCUCUUUCAAUACUGACUUAUUUUGUAUUUCUGUAGUGGUCUCCUAGGCACACCUUAUGUUUGGGAAGUGCUCUUUAGUGUGAUUAUAUAAUUUUAUUUUGGCUUGUUAAAAAGAAAAUACCAAAAUAUCUUUAGUUAAGCUACGAGGAUCUGGGGUGAGGAUUUUGUUUCAUUAUGUGGAUAAAAUAGGAGCAAGGAAUCCUAUGGAAAUUAUUUCAGCCCGUACUCUCUUUAAGCUUGAAUGAGUGUAAAAAAAAUAAAAAUGGGCAAUGUUAUUUAGUACCCCAGGGAUACCGGUUAACUACAUCCAAAAAAGAUUGAGAAAUUUUUGUCAUCUUGUGAAUAAUUAGUGUCUACAAUAUUGAUUUUCUUACUUUUUUUUUUGGUCUUAGAUGAAGUGGUAAUCCACUGAAAAUAAACUCACACACAACUGUGAGGUCCCGGGUUCGAAUCCGGGUCACGACAUUCGGCCUUGCAAUUUCUUACUUUAAUUGGGAAUAUAAAAUAACUUUUUUUGUAUACGAAUGUUGUCCUAAUAAUGUGAUAUGAUAUGAUAACUACAACGGUUAAUAUGGUCCAAAACCAUGUUGUCACUUUCACCAAAGGGCCAUUAAUAUUACAAUUACUUUUAUUCUAUUGGGAUCUCCACAAAGUAGAAGUUACCUAUCCAACCACAUAAUAUCGUAGCAAGAAACAAGUAAAGUCAAACAUUAUACAGGAGUACUAUAUAUUUUAUAAAUUGAUAAGCUUUGUACUAGUGAAAUAAAGUAAUAUUCCUACCACAAUGAUAGGUUCAAAAUCCUUUGUAAUCACAUGUAUAUUUAACAUGAUAAAGUGCUUAAUCCAAUAUGUUUUUAGAAGAUAAGAUUGGAUUACUGUAAUUUGUCAUUUAAUAGAGCUCUCACAAAUAUUAUGUGUAUAUUGACAUGUUUUGUACAUAAUACAUACAAUAUAGGGAUAAGAGCCAAAGUAGUUAGUCUUGUUUUUUUUCUUUCAAUAACUAGUUAGUCUUGUUUUAAUGUUCUAAAAGUAAUAAAAAAAUUGUAUUUUCUAAAUUGCUACCUUUUAUGUGAAGUUCUACUAUGAUAAUUUUUUUGUAAUUUAUAUUUGAAAUUGGUGUUAUGUUAUACCUCGAUUGGUAUAUUUUAUUCCUUUAAUAUUGGGUGCUGGUCAUUCAUCUCAUCAUCCUUGUGUAGGACAAAAAAUGUAUCAACCUAAAUUCAGAAUGACAAUGGUUUUGUCAUUGUCUCGUUGUUAAUUCAGUGGAUCUGAACUGCUAAUAAUGAGAUUCAGCUAGCAUUGUUUUGUCCUCAAACUAUUCAACAUUCUUUGGUGUAAGCAAUCAUGUAAUUGGGAAAAUCUUCACCACCACUAUACACCUGCAAAAGCACUAGCCGCAAAUCUUUUAUAUGGAGAAUUCACACUGUGCUUAUCAUUAUUAACAUACAUUUUUAUUGUGGGAAAUAAUAAUCAAACAUAUUCAACUUAAAUUUGUGUGAAGACUCAAUUGGCUAACCAAUAUGGGAAUUAGGAAUCAAGUAAAAAAAUGAGGUAAUAGAUAACGGUUAAAAGCAAAUGAUAUGUGAAAUCUUUUGCUAAGAAUAAUCAUAAUGAAAGGCACUUAUCCUAAGAAUUUGAAAAGCAAUGGGUUAAUUUUUAGGAAGAUACGGUCAAUAUGGAUGAGAUCGAAAUGAAAGAAAAUGUUCCACAGUAGUUUUCCCACAAAUUCAGGUUCUAUAAAGUAGAUAUGUUGGCAAAAUAUCAUAUUCAUCACCUUAUAAACCGAAAGAUAAUAUACUUGUCAUUCCUCAUGCAAUUAUGUCACGAUGCAUUAAAAACAAGAUGAUUAUAGUGACCCCGUACCAUUUUGAGCCAACUGUUUUCUUACUUUAAUCACAAAUGUAAUAAAAAUUAUUAUUAUAUCAGUAGUAAAUAUUAUAAUGUUUGGGUGAAAUUUUUUUGUCUCGGAUAAAUCCUUGAUUCAGUUAUUUAUCUAAGAAGAAUGCUAUGCAUAGCGAAGGAUUUAGUCACGAAAUUUUCACGAUGACUAAAAUUGCAAACUGCCUUUUGUUUUGGAAAAGACGGAAAUCACCUUUGAUAGUGGGCAUAUAGAUAAUUAUCGUGAUGAAUUCGGGUAGAUGUUCUCGCGACAUAUAGCAUUUUUUAUUUUUCUUUGCUAAAGGCUAAUUAAUUUCCUAGUUCCCAUUUGUGUCGAACCAACCAGUAAUUUCAAUUUCGUUAAAUUAGUGGGUAUAUAUUUACUUCCAGAAACUGUAACAGCCCAAUUUUUAGCUAGAUUUAUUUUAAUUACUUUUAAUUGUGUUUGUGUGUGAUUAAUUGUGCUUGUGUGUAUUUAAUUGUCGUCGGGUGCAUUUACGUGGAUUACCGUAUUAGAAGAGUAUUUUAGUCAUUUGACGGGUAAGGGUAAAAUGGUAAUUUUGGUGAGAAUCAUUUUAAUAUUUAAUGAGAACCCUUAUUUUACCAAGUUACUAGUGUAAUGAUUAGUUUUUAUCGUUAGUGACCGUUCGUUAUAUUUUACCGUUGUUAGUAAUUACCGUUGAGUGGAUAGAAACUUUUUGGAAUUAUGUUAGAAUGAGUUAGGCCCAUUAGAAUUUGGAAUUGAGCCCAUUAAGGGAGAUAACAUUAGGGUUGUCAUAGGAAAAUAUCUUUCAUUCACUUCACAAAACACUUUCCUAGAGAGAGAGGGAGAUAGAGAGAGAAAGAGGUGAAGAGAAGAACAAGAGUGUUGAAGGGAAAGCUUGGGGAAUCAAUUUGGGUGACCUAGGAGCUGAAUUGAAGCAAGGGUUAGAGAUAAUCAACUUCAAAGGUAAGGGGGUUAGUUAUUAUCAUAAUCAUGUACAAUCUUUGCAUUUUCUCAUGUUGUAUGAAAAUGGGUUGGUGAACAAUUGUUGUUAAAUUCGUGCUCUUGCUGUGAUGCUAUUUUCUUGUGCUUGAAUUGAUGAUUAUGGUAUGUUUAUGGGUGAAAUUACAUGUUUCAAAGUAUGUAUAAAUGUUAAGUUAUGAAAUUAUGCUUAAUUGAUGAAAUUUGAUAUGCUUUGAUUGAAAAGAGAUGUGAUUCAUAUUCCAUUAAUGUGGUUAUUGUUAACUGAUGCUAUUGUAAGUGAAUUAUGAUUUGGGUAUACUUAAUUGUGGAUUGAUGAUGAGAAAUAAAUUGUUGUUGAUGGUUUUGUGAAAUUAGUGAAGUUGAGUUAAGUGUUCAUGUGAAGGACCAAAAUGAACUUUUUGAUAUAUAUAUGGUUGUUGACUGAAAUUUUGUUAUUGUUGGAUGAAUUGAACCUAUGAGAAUUUCUGUUUUCACGUUGUGGUUAUGUUAGUUGAGUCGUUUGGGAGAAAACGGAUUUUUCGU
rnacentral:lncRNA from 1 species